UCCGCCAAUGUGAACCACGCCGUCACCAUCGUCGGCUACUGCGAGGGUCCCGGCGAGGGAAACAAGUACUGGAUUGCCAAGAACUCGUGGAGCAACGACUGGGGUGAACAAGGAUAUGUCUACCUCGCAAAGGACGUGCCCUCGUCCACGGGCACAUGUGGCCUCGCCACCUCGCCCUUCUACCCCACGGCUUGACCACAGGCAGCACUAUGUGUGAUAUCUAAGGAAUUGCUUCCGUUUCGUUGUGAUAAUGCUAAAUUAUUAUUUUGAUUAUACUUCCCUUUAAUUUGAUCAAUAAUAGGUAGACCAUGCGUGCAAUAUAUCAUGGCCUGAGUAAUAAAGUUUCGAGUGAAUUACACUUUUUACAAGUUAAUUGUGCAAUUUUUUGUGACACGUAUUUACCGAUUUAGCAGAUGUUGCAUCGAAAUGUCCCAUCUAAAAAACAUUGUACCAGAUUUUACUCCAUUUUAGCAUUUCGCCUAUUAUUAGAUAUGACCCGCAUGUUAGGUAGGUACUUUAACAACAAUGUGUAAACAUCUCAGGACAGGAUGGACUAUCAUGUUUAGCCUUCUCUUCUCCAUGCAUUCCACUGCUCGCCAUCCUUAUGGUAUCCUCUAACGGUGAUCAUCGCCGCACGCAUUUUACAAUCGACACCCAUGAGAGAAACAUGGUACAAAGUUUUAAAAUAGGGUAAUGUAGACGAAUGCUCAUGAAAUGGGUUAACUGGUUCCGCGAAUGUACAAAUUGGAGGUAAAAAGUGAAGCUCAGUCUGAAUUUACAGAUAACAUGUUGGGUACUAUCAUGCUCGUGUGUUCUCUUCUUUGUUUCUACUUCUCUGUGAGGAUUAUUUUUCUAAAAUCAAAUUUGCAUGUGCAAUGAGCAUUUUUACGGUACCGUUAAAAACAUAUGAAACCUCCAUUUGUUAGAUUGUGAUGGCUGAAGAUUAGACGUAGAUAUAUAGGAUUGCCACCUCUAAAAUCUGUGGGGUACAUUUUGAAGUCGUAAUCAAGACAAAAUUACUAUGCCGUCAGAUCAUCUCAAUUGUGCUCCUGUUAUUAUGUACGCAUACCCCCAUAUUUUGUUCGUUUCUGGACGUCUAAACACAAGAUCUGAACGAAUCAGGGCGGAUGUCCCCCAAGUGUACCCCCAAAUGGAUUACUAUUUCCGCGACCAAUUAAGCAUCUAAUAGCGAAUAUUGCAAAGUAACAUAGAACAGGAAAAUGUAUACUAGUAGUCCUUGCAUCUGAAACUUUUCUCAUUUAUCCUAUAGCAAUUCUGUCAGUAAAUCCAUCCACAUCUCUAGGAUGUGGUUCCUCGAUGCUGCCCACAAAGGGCAACUUGCAAACCAAACAAAAAUCAUAGAGUGACAUCUCCUUAACCUCAUCAUAUAAGUAAAACUCCACUGAAGGUGGUGAUUUUCUAGCAUGGAAAUAAAAGUUUUGCAUGAAAAUAUUAGUGAGUAGGAGAUACUGUUUACACUGGUCGUGGAGGAAGUCGGUGAUGCCUGCAUUCUCAGCCAAAUAAUAAAAGUCGUCGUAAAUUCUGGCGGCUCUCAAAAAUGCAUCACAAGGCCAUUCGCACGACCGAACCUCCACAACGCGAGGAAGAUUGUAUUUGGGCUUUUUAUUCUCCUCAUUCUGCUUAUCAUUCGAGCUUCGACUCGAGGAGCCCCGCAGCAAUCACUUCAUCAUUUUCGUUCUCUGAAAAAAUUCUGAAUUUUUUAGUGACUCAAAAUAGAAGUGAAUCAGACUCAACAAAAUUGAUAGCAACUACUCCCACAAAAACUAAUUGGACCAUUGGAGGAGUCACAUACCGAAGAACAACCCCCCCAAAGCAGUUUUGUGAAUGGAGCUUUGAGCAAGGAGAUCGAAAAUGGCAGCAAACCGAGCUAGAACACGAGUUUGAGCUACAGGAUGAUUUUUUGGAGGAAGACGAAGUGUGUGGGUGCUGGAAUAAGUGGAGAGGGGCCACGUGGGUCCACGAGGCAGGGGGCGCGCCCGAGGGGUGUGGGCGCGCCCUGUGCCCUUGUGGCCAAAUGGUGGGUACCCCUGGUGUGUUCUAAGUGCCAGAAAUUCUUAAAUAUUCUAUAAAAAAUCAUACUUCAUUUUCAGGGCAUUUAGAGAACUUUUAUUUUCAGGGUAUUUUUUAUUGCAAGGAUAAUUCAAAAAACAGACAGAAAAUACUAUUUUUACUUUAUUUAAUCUAAAUAACAGAAAGUAAAAUGAUGGUACAGAGAGUUUUGCUUUCUAAUUUCAUCCAUCUCAUACUCAUCAAAAGGAAUCCACUAACAAGGUUGAUCAAGUCUUGUUAACAAACUACUUCUGAAUAACAUGUAACCAGAGAAUUUCCGAAUACCACUAGGUUACCUCAACGGGGAUAUGCAUGUCCCCAAUAUUAAGAAUAUCAUAUUUUUUUUACAGUAGGAAGAGGUAAUUCAAAACCUCUAAUAGUAAUCAUUGAAAAAUUUCCAAUAGAAUUGAUACUAUGAACUUGAGGUUGUUUCUUCAGACAGUGUAUCGUAUGCUCAUUAUCAUUAACAUGAAAGGUGACACUGCCUUUGUUGCAAUCAAUAAUAGCCCCUAUAGUAUUAAAAAAGGGUCUACCAAGGAUAAUCGACAUACUGUCGUCCUUGGAAAUAUUAAGAAUAACAAAGUCCAUUAAAAUAGUAACGUUUGCAACCACAACAUGCAUAUCCUCACAAAUACCAACGGGUAUAGCGGUUGAUUUAUCGGCCAUUUGCAAAGAGAUUUCAGUAGGUGUCAACUUAUUCAAAUCAAGUCUACGAUAUAAGGAGAGAGGCAUAACAUUGACACCGGCUCCAAGAACACAUAAAGUAGUUUUAACAUAGUUUCUUUUAAAGGAGCAUGGUAUAGUUGGUACUCCUGGAUCUCCAAGUUUCUUUAGUAUUCCACCCUUAAAAGUAUAAUUAGCAAGCAUGGUGGGAAUUUCAGCUUCUGGUAUCUUCCUUUUAUUUGUAACAAUAUCUUUCAUAUACUUAGCAUAAGGAUUCAUUUUAAGCAUGUCUGUCAAAUGCAUACGCAAAAAGAUAGGUCUAAUCAUUUCAGCAAAGCACUCAAAAUCCUCAUCAUCCUUUUUUCUUGGAUGGCUUAGGAGGAAAAGGCAUGGGUUUCUGAACCCAUGGUUCUCUUUCUUUACCAUGCUUCCUAGCAAAGAAGUCUCUCUUAUCAUAUCGUUGAUUCUUUGAUUGUGGGUUAUCAAGAUCAACAUCAGGUUCAAUCUCUACAUCAUUGUUAUUGCUAGGUUGAGCAUCAACAUGAACAUCAUCAUUAACAUUAUCACUAGGUUCAUGUUCAUUACCAAAUUGUGUUUCAGCAUCAGAAAUAGAAAUAUCAUUGGGAUUCUCAGGUGUAUCUAUAACAGGUUCACUAGAAGCAUGCAAAGUCCUAUCAAUUUUCCUUUUCUUUUCUUAGAAUGGCUAGGUGCAUCAACUUAGUUCUCUGAGAAUCUUGCUCAACUCUCUUAGGAUGGCCCUCAGUAUACAAAGGUUCCUGGGUCAUUUUACCACCUCUAGUCAUAACUCUAACAUCAUUAUCAUUGUUCUUAUUAUUUAAUUCAUUUAGCAAAUCGUCUUGUUCUUUAAGUACUUGUUAACUUGAGUGGUAACCAUGGAUGCAUGUUAACUAAUAAGCUUAAGGUCACCUUUAACUCUAAACAUAUAAUCACUCAAGUGUUCAACCAUAUAAGCAUUACGUUUCAAUUGUCUACCAACAUAAGCAUUGAAGUUUUCUUGUUUAACAAUAAAAUUAUCAAAUUCAUCCAGGCAUUCACUAGCAGACUUAUUACGAGGAAUAUCACCUUUUCAUCAAAUCUAUAGAGAUAAUUUGCCUUUACUACCUGUGUCGGGUUAUUAAGACCAUGUAUUUCUUCAAUAGGUGGCAAAUUCUUAACAUCUUCAACUUUAAUACCUUUUUCUUUCAUAGAUUUCUUUACCUCUUGCAUAUAUUUAGGACUGAGAAAUAGUAUACCCCUUUUCUUCGGAGUUGGCUUAGGACUUUGUUCAGGAAGUGUCCAAUUAUUAUCAUUACUCAAUAUAUUAUUCAAUAGUAAUUCAGCUUGCUCAAUCUCUGGGCCCUCUCGGUAAUACACAUUACUUAAGCCUUGCAAGCAUUGCAACUAAUGAGUUAGUUGCGGGAUGAUAUAUUACAGAACGAGUAAAGAGACUUGCCGGUAACGAGAUUGAACUAGGUAUUAAGAUACCGACGAUCGAAUCUCGGGCAAGUAACAUACCGAUGACAAAGGGAACAACGUAUGUUGUUAUGCGGUCUGACCGAUAAAGAUCUUCGUAGAAUAUGUGGGAACCAAUAUGAGCAUCCAGGUUCAGCUAUUGGUUAUUGACCGGAGACGUGUCUCAGUCGUGUCUACAUUGUUCUCAAUCCGUAGGGUCCGCACGAUUAAGGUUUCGAUGACAGUUAUAUUAUGAGUUUAUGAGUUUUGAAUGACCGAAGGAGUUCAGAGUCCCGGAUGAGAUCGGGGACAUGACGAGGAGUCUCGUAAUGGUCGAGACGUAAAGAUCGAUAUAUUGGACGACUAUAUUCGGAGUUCGGAAAGGUUCCGAGUGUUUCGGGUAUUUUUCGGAGUACCGGAGAGUUAUGGGAAUUCGCCGGGGAGUAUAUGGGCGUUAUUGGGCCAUACGGGAAUAGAGUAGAGAGGCCAAAAGGAAGGAGGCCUGCGCCCCCUCUGGUCCAAAUUGGACAAGGGGCGCAGCCCCCUUUUCCUUCUUCCUCUCCCCCUCUUUCCCCUUCUCCUACUCCAACAAGGAAGAAGGGAGUCCUACUCCCGGUGGGAGUAGGACUCCCCUUGGCGCGCCCCCUCCUAGGCCGGCCGCCCCCUCCCCCUUGCUCCUUUAUAUACGGGGGCAGGGGGCACCUCUAGACACAACAACAAUUGAUCCUUGAGAUCUCUUAACCGUGUGCGGUGCCCCCUCCACCAUAGUCCUCGAUAAUAAUGUAGUGGUGCUUAGGCGAAGCCCUGCGACAGUAGAACAUCAAGAUCGUCACCACGCCAUCGUGCUGAUGGAACUCUUCCCCGACACUUUGCUGGAUCGGAGUGCGGGGAUCGUCAUCGAGCUGAACGUGUGCUAGAACUCGGAGGUGCCGUAGUUUCGGAGCUUGAUCGGUUGGGCCGUGAAGACGUACGACUACAUCAACCGCUUUGUUAUAACACUUCCGCUUUAGGUCUACGAGGGUACGUGAACAUACUCUCCCCUCUCGUUGCUAUGCAUCACCAUGAUCUUGCGUGUGCGUAGGAAUUUUUUUGAAAUUACUACGUUCCCCAACAUUGGCAUCCGAGCCAGGUUUUAUGCGUAGAUGUCAUAUGCACGAGUAGAUCACAAGUGAGUUGUGGGCGAUAUAAGUCAUACUACUUACCAACAUGUCAUACUUUGGUUCAGCGGUAUUGUUGGUGAAGCGGCCCGGACCGACAUUACGCGUACGCUUACACGAGACUGGUUCUACCGACGUGCUUUGCACACAGGUGGCUGGCGGGUGUCAGUUUAUCCAACUUUAGUUGAACCGAGUGUGGCUACGCCCGGUCCUUGCGAAGGUUAAAACAGCACCAACUUGACAAACUAUCGUCGUGGUUUUGAUGCGUAGGUAAGAACAGUUCUUGCUAAGCCCGUAGCAGCCACGUAAAACUUGCAACAACAAAGUAGAGGACGUCUAACUUGUUUUUGCAGGGCAUGUUGUGAUGUGAUAUGGUCAAGACAUGAUGAUAAAUUUUAUUGUAUGAGAUGAUCAUGUUUUGUAACAGAGUUAUCGGAAACUGGCAAGAGCCAUAUGGUUGUCGCUUUAUUGUAUGCAAUGCAAUCGCCCUGUAAUGCUUUACUUUAUCACUAAGCGGUAGCGAUAGUCAUAGAAGCAUAAUAUUGGCGAGACGACAACGAUGCUACGAUGGAGAUCAAGGUGUCGCGCCGGUGACGAUGGUGAUCAUGACGGUGCUUCGAAGAUGGAGAUCACAAGCACAAGAUGAUGAUGGCCAUAUCAUAUCACUUAUAUUGAUUGCAUGUGAUGUUUAUCUUUUAUGCAUCUUAUCUUGCUUUGAUUAACGGUAGCAUUAUAAGAUGAUCCCUCACUAAAUUAUCAUAGUAAAAGUGUUCUCCCUGAGUAUGCAUCGUUGCGAAAGUUCUUCGUGCUGAGACACCACGUGAUGAUCGGGUGUGAUAAGCUCUAUGUUCAAAUACAACGGGUGCAAAACAGUUGCACACGCGGAAUACUCAGGUGAAACUUGACGAGCCUAGCAUAUAACAGAUAUGGCCUGGAACACAGAGACCGAAAGGUCGAGCGUGAAUCAUAUAGUAGAUAUGAUCAACAUAUUGAUGUUCACCGUUGAAACUACUCCAUCUCACGUGAUGAUCGGACAUGGUGUAGUUGAUAUGGAUCACGUAAUCACAUAGAGGAUUAGAGGGAUUUCUAUCUAAGUGGGAGUUCUUAAGUAAUAUGAUUAAAUGAACUUAAAUUUAUCAUGAACUUAGUCCUGGUAGUAUUUUGCAAAUUGUGUUGUAGAUCAAUAGCUUGCGUUGUUGCUUUCAUAUGUUUAUUUUGAUAUGUUCCUAGAGAAAAUUGUGUUGAAAGAUGUUAGUAGCAAUGAUGCGGAUUGGAUCCGUGGUCUGAGGUUUAUCCUCAUUGUUGCAUAGAAGAAUUAUGUCCUUAAUGCACCACUAGGUGACAGACCUAUUGCAGGAGCAGAUGCAGACGUUAUGAACAUUUGGGUAGAUCAAUAUGAUGACUACUUGAUAGUUUAGUGCACCAUGCUUAACGUCUUAGAACUGGGACUUUACAGAUGUUUUGAACGUCAUGGACCAUAUGAGAUGUUCUAGGAGUUGAAGUUAAUAUUUCAAGCAAAUACCCAAGUUGAGAGAUAUGAAGUCUCCAACAAGUUCUAUGGCUAAAAGAUGGAGGAGAAUCACUCAACUAGUGAGCAUGUGCUAAGAUUGUCUGGGUACUACAAUCACUUGAAUCAAGUGGGAGUUAAUCUUCAAAUUAAGAUAGUGAUUGACAGAAUUCUCUAGUCACCAUCACCAAGUUAGUAGAACUUUGUGAUGAACUAUAGUAUGCAAGGGAUGACGUAAACGAUUCCCAAGCUCUUUGUGAUGUUGAAAUCGACGAAGGUAGAAAUCAAGAAAGAGCAUCAAGUGUUGAUGAUUGACAAGACCACUAGUUUAAAGAAAAGGGCAAAGGGAAAGAAAGGGACCUUCAAGCAGAAUGGCAAGCAAGUUGUCAUUCCCACGAAGAAGCCCAAAGCUGGACCAAAGCCUGAAACUGAGUGAUUAUACUACAAAGGAAAUGGUCACUAGAAGCAGAAAUGCCUUGAAUAUUUGGUGGAUAAGAAGGAUGGCAAAGUGAACAAGGGUAUAUUUGAUAUACAUGUUAUUGAUGUGUACUUUACUAGUGUUUAUAGUAGCCCCUGAGUAUUUGAUACUUGUUCAGUUGCUAUGAUUAGUAACUCGAAACAGGAGUUAUAGAAUAAACAAAGACUAGUUGAGGGUGAAGUGACGAUGUGUGUUGGAAGUAGUUCCAAGAUUGAUAUGAUCAUCAUCACACUCUCCCUACACUUCUGAGAUUAGUGUUGAACAUAAAUAAAUGUUAUUUGGCGUCUGCGUUGAGCAUGAAUAUUAUUUGAUCAUGUUUAUUGCAAUACGGUUAUUCAUUUAAAGUCAGAGAAUAAUUGUUGUUCUGUUUACAUGAAUAAAACCUUCAAUGGUCAUACACCCAAUGAAAAUAGUUUGUUGGAUCUCGAUCGUAGUAAUACACAUAUUCAUAAUAUUGAUGCCAAAAGAUGCAAAGUUAAUAAUGAUAGUGCAACUUAUUUGUGGCACUGCCGUUUGGGUCAUAUCGGUGUAAAGCGCAUGAAGAAACUCCAUAAAAAUGGAUUUUCGGAAUCAUUUGGUUAUGAAUCAUUUGAUGCUUGCGAACCAUGCCUUUUGGGCAAGAUGACUAAAACUCCGUUCUCCAGAACAAUGGAUCGAGCUACUGACUUGUUGGAAAUAAUACAUACUGAUGUAUGCAGACCUGUGAGUAUUAAGGCUCGUGGCAAGUAUCAUUAUUUUCUGACCUUCACAGAUGAUUUGAGCAGAUAUAGGUAUAUCUACGUGAUGAAACAUAAGUCUGAAAUAGUUGAAAGGUUCAAAGAUUUUUAGAGUGAAGUGGAAAAUCAUCGUAACAAGAAAAUAAAGUUUCUGCGAUCUGAUCGUGGAGAUGAAUAUUUGUGUUAUGAGUUUGGUCUUCAACUAAAACAAAGCGGAAUAGUUUCGUAACUCACGCCACCCGGAACACCACAGCGUAAUGGUGUGUCCGAACGUCGUAACCGCACUUUAUUAGAUAUUGUGCAAUCUAUGAAGUAUCUUACCGAUUUACCACUAUCGUUUUGGGGUUAUGCAUUAGAGACAGUUGCAUUCACUUUAAAUAGGGCACCAUCAAAAUCCGUUGAGACGACGCCUUAUGAACUGUGGUUUGGCAAGAAACCAAAGUUGUCGUUUCUUAAAGUUUGGGACUGCGAUGCUUAUGUGAAAAAGUUUCAACCUGAUAAGCUCGAACCUAAAUCGGAGAAGUGCGUCUUCAUAGAAUACCCAAAGGAAACUGUUGGGUACACCUUCUAUCACAGAUCCAAAGGCAAGAUAUUCGUUGCUAAAAUGGAUCCUUUCCAGAGAAGGAUUUUCUCUCGAAAGAAGUGAGUGGGAGGAAAGUAGAACUUGAUGAGGUAACUAUACCUGCUCCCUUAUUAGAAAGUAGUUCAUCACAGAAAUCGGUUACUGUGACAUCUACACCAAUUAGUGAGGAAGUUAAUGAUGAUGAUCAUGAAACUUCAGAUCAAGUUGUUACUGAACCUCGUAGGUCAAACAGAAUAAGAUCCGCACCAGAGUGGUACGAUAAUCCCGUUCUAGAAGUCAUGUUACUAGACCAUGAUGAAUCUACGAACUAUGAGGAAGCGAUGAUGAGCCUAGAUUCCGCGAAAUGGCUUGAGGCCAUAAAAUCUGAGAUAUGAUCCAUGUAUGAAAACAAAGUAUGGACUUUGAUUGACUUGCUCGAUGAUCAGCAAGCCAUGUUAAAUAAAUGGAUCUUCAAGAGGAAGACGGACACUGAUAGUAGUGUCACUAUCUACAAAGCUCGACUUGUUGCGAAAGGUUUUCGACAAGUUCAAGGUGUGUUGAAUGUGAUGAGAUUUUCUCACUCGAAACGAUGCUUAAGUCUGUCCGAAUCAUGUUAGCAAAUUGCCACAUUUUAUGAAAUCUAGCAAAUGGAUAUCAAAACUGUGUUCCUGAAUGGAUUUCUAGAAGAAAAGUUGUAUAUGAUGCAACCAGAAGGUUUUGUCGAUCCGAAAGGUGCUAACAAAAUGUGCAAGCUCCAGCGAUCCAUCAAUGGACUGGUGCAAGCAUCUCGAAGUUGGAAUAUACGCUUUGAUAAGUUAAUCAAAGCAUAAGAUUUUUAUAAAGACUUUUGGAAAUGCCUGUAUUUACAAGAAAGUGAGUGGGAGCACUACAACCUUUCUGAUAAGUAUAUGUGAAUGACAUAUUGUUGAUCGGAAAUGAUGUAGAAUUUUUCUGGAAAGCAUAAAGAAGUAUUUGAAAGAAGUUUUUUCAAAGAAAGACCUCGGUGAAGCUGCUUACACAUUGAGCAUCAAGAUCUAUAGAGAUAGAUCAAGACGCUUGAUAAGAUUUUUCAAUGAGUACAUACCUUGACAAGAUUUUGAAGAAGUUCAAAAUGGAACGGUCGAAAGAAGUCUUGCCUGUGAUGCAAAGGUGUGAAGUUGAGUAAGACUCAAAACCCGACCAUGGCAGAAAAUAGAAAGAGAAUGAAACGUCAUUCCCUAUGCCUUAGUCAUAGGUUCUAUAAAGUAUGCUAUGUUGUGUACCACACCUAUUGUAUACCUUGCUCUGAGUUUGGCAAAGGAAUACAAUUUUGAUCUAAGAGUAUAUCACUGGACAGCGGUCAAGAAUAUCCUUAGUAAGGACUAAGGAGAUGUUUCUCGAUUAUGGAGGUGAUAAAAGAGUUCGUCGUAAAGAGUUACAUCGAUGCAAGCUUUUACACCGAUCCAUAUGAAUCUAAGUAUCAAUCUGGAUACAUAUUAAAAGUGGGAGCAAUUAGCUACAUUAGAUCUGUGCAGAGCAUUGUACACAUAGAAUAUUUGGAAAAUACAUGCGGCUCUGAAUGUAACAGACCCAUUGACUAAACUUCUCUCAUGAGAAAAACAUGAUCAUACCUUAGUACUCUUUGAGUGUUAAUCACAUAGCGAUGUGAACUAGAUUAUUGAAUCUAGUAAACCCUUUGGGUGUUGAUCACAUAACGAUGUGAACUAUGGGUAUUAAUCACAUACAGAUGUGAAUAUUAGUGUUAAAUCACAUGGCGAUGUGAACUAGAUUAUUGACUCUAGUGCAAGUGGGAGACUGAAGGAAAUAUGCCCUAGAGGCAAUAAUAAAGUUAUUAUUUAAUUCCUUAUUUAAUGAUAAAUGUUUAUUAUUCAUGCUAGAAUUGUAUUAACCGGAAACAUAAUACAUGUGUGAAUACAUAGACAAACAAAGUGUCACUAGUGUGCCUCUACUUGACUAGCUUGUUGAUCAAAGCUUGUUAUGUUUCCUGACCAUAGACAUGUGUUGUCAUUUGAUUAACGGGAUCACAUCAUUAGGAGAAUGAUGUGAUUGACAUGACCCAUUCCGUUAGCUUAGCACACAAUCGUUUAGUAUGUUGCUAUUGCUUUCUUCAUGACUUAUAGAUGUUCCUAUGACUAUGAGAUUAUGCAACUCCCGUUUACCAGAGAAACACUUUGUGUGCUACCAAACGUCACAACGUAACUGGGUGAUUAUAAAGGUGCUCUACAGGUGUCUCCGAAGGUACAUGUUGGGUUGGCAUAUUUCGAGAUUAGGAUUUGUCACUCCGAUUGUCGGAGACGUAUCUCUGGGCCCUCUCGGUAAUACACAUCACUUAAGCCUUGCAAGCAUUGCAACUAAUGAGUUAGUUGCGGGAUGAUGUAUUACGAAACGAGUAAAGAGACUUGCCGAUAACAAGAUUGAACUAGGUAUUGAGAUACCGACGAUCGAAUAUCGGGCAAGUAACAUACCGAUGACAAAGGGAACAAUGUAUGUUGUUAUGCGGUCUGACCGAUAAAGAUCUUUGUAAAAUAUGUGGGAACCAAUAUGAGCAUCCAGGUUCUGCUAUUGGUUAUUGACCGAAGACGUGUCUCGGUCAUGUUUACAUUGUUCUCGAACCCGUAGGGUCCGCACACUUAAGGUUUCGAUGACAGUUAUAUUAUGAGUUUAUGAGUUUUGAUGUACCGAAGGAGUUCGGAGUCCCGGAUGAGAUCGGGGAAAUGACGAUGAGUCUCGAAAUGGUCGAGACGUAAAUAUCUAUAUAUUGGACGACUAUAUUCGGAGUUCUGAAAGGUUCCGAGUGUUUCGGGUAUUUUUCGGAGUACAGGAGAGUUACGGGAAUUCGCCGGGGAGUAUAUGGGCCUUAUUGGGCCAUACGGGAAUAGAGGAGAGAGGCCAAAAGGAAGGAGGCCUGCGCCCCACCUCUGGUCCGAAUUGGACAAGGGGCGCAACCCCUUUUUCCUUCUUCCUCUCCCCCUCUUUCCCCUUCUCCUACUCCAACAAGGAAGGAGGGAGUCCUACUCCCCGUGGGAGUAGGACUCCCCUUGGCGCACCCCCUCCUAGGACGGCCGCCACCUACCCCUUGCUCCUCUAUAUACGGGGGCAGGGGGGCACCUCUAGACACAACAACACUUGAUCCUUGAGAUCUCUUAGCCGUGUGCGGUGCCCCCCUCCACCAUAGUCCUCGAUAAUAUUAUAGCGGUUCUUAGACGAAGCCCUGCGACAGUAGAACAUCAAGAUUGUCACCACGCCGUCGUGCUGACGGUACUCUUCCCCGACACUUUGCUGGAUCGGAGUCCGGGGAUCGUCAUCGAGCUGAAUGUGUUCUAGAACUCGGAGGUGCCGUAGUUUCGGUGCUUGAUCGGACGGGCCGUGAAGAUGUACGACUACAUCAACCGCGUUGUUAUAACGCUUCCGCUUUCGGUCUACGAGGGUACGUGGACAUACUCCCCCCUCUCGUUGCUAUGCAUCACCAUGAUCUUGCGUGUGCGUAGGAAAUUUUUUGAAAUUACUACGUUCCCCAACAAUAGUUUCAUCAUAAGCAUCAUGCAUUGCACAAGUGGCAUCAUCAAUAACGUGCGACAUAUUAGAAUCAAUAGGAGGUGCAGGUGUCGCAAAUUUACUCAUAAUAGAAGGUGAAUCAAGUGCAUAGCUAGAUGGGAGUUCCUUACCUACCCUCGUAGUUGAGGGGAAAAUCUUGGUUCUUUCAUCUUUCAAGUUCCUCAUAGUGAUCAGCAGAUAUAAAUCCCAAGUGACUCAAAGAAUAGAGCUAUGCUCCCGGGCAACGGAGCCAGGAAAGAGUCUUGAUAACCCACAAGUAUAGGCGAUUGCAACAAUUUUUGAUGGUAGAGUAUUCAACCCAAAUUUAUUGAUUCGACACAAGGGGAGCCAAAGAAUAUUCUCAAGUAUUAGCAACUGAGUUGUCAAUUCAACCACACCUGAAAGACUUAAUAUCUGCAGCAAAGUAUUUAGUAGCAAAGUAGUAGGAAGUAACGGCAACGGUGGCAAAAGUAACAUUAACGGUUUUGUAGCAAUCCUAACAGUGGCAAUGGAGAAGUAACUUAGCAAAAAUCAAUAUGUGAAAAUCUCAUAGGCAAUGGAUCAAUGAUGGAUAAUUAUGUUAGAUGCAAUUCAUAAUGCAACAUUUAUAACAUAGGGUGACACAGAACUAGCUCCAGUUCAUCAAUAUAAUGUAGGCAUGUAUUCCGAAAUAGUCAUAUGUGCUUAUGGAAAAGAACUUGCAUGACAUCUUUUGUCCUACCCUCCCGUGGCAGCGGGGUCGUAUUGGAAACUAAGGGAUAUUAAGGCCUACUUUUAAUAGAGUACCCGACCAAAGCAUUAACACUUAGUUAAUACAUGAACUCCUCAAACUACGGUCAUCACUGGGAGUGGUCCCGAUUAUUGUCACUUCGGGGUUGCCGGAUCAUAACACAUACUAGGUGACUAUUGACUUGCAAGAUAGGAUCAAGAACUCACAUAUAUUCAAGAAAACAUAAUGAGUUUAGAUCUGAAAUCAUGGCACUCGGGCCCUAGUGACAAGCAUUAAGCAUGGCAAAGUCAUAGCAACAUCAAUAUUAGAACAUAAUUGAUACUAGGGAUCAAACCCUAUAAAAACUAACUCGAUUACAUGGUAAAUCUCAUCCAUCCCAUCACCGUCCAGCAAGCCUACGAUGGGAUUACUGACGCACGGCGGUGAGCAUCAUGAAAUUGGUGAUGGAGGAUGGUGUUGGGGAACAUAGUAAUUUUAAAAAAUAUCCUACGCACAGGUGUAAAAGAUUGAGUGGGAUGGUUAUAGUAAGGGGCGAACCAAGCGCUUGCGCGAAGAAGUGAAUCAAUCAGAAUGGAGACAAGGAAAGGAAUCGAGGCCCAGCCGCAAGAUCAUGGUGAUGCAUUGCAAUGACAGGGGGAGUGUAUCUUCAUACCCUUGAAGAUUGCUAAGCGGAAGCGUUUAUCAACGCGGUUGAUGUAGUCGUACGUCUUCAUGAUCCGACCGAUCCAAGUACCGAAUGCACGGCACUUCCGAGUUCUACACACGUUGAGCUCGAUGACGUCCUCGCCUUCUCGAUCCAGCAAGAUGGGCGAAGUAGUAGAUGAGUUCCGGCAGCACGACGGCGUGGUGACGGUGUUGGUGAAGAAAAAUCUCCGCAGGGCUUCGCCUAAGCACUACGGAAACUAUGAUGGAGGAUAAACUAGAGGGGACGGGGUUGCCGGCACACGGCUUGGUGUUUUUUGAUGUGUCUUGGGUGCUAGCCCUACACCUCUAUUUAUAUGUUGAGCCUUGGUGUCGAAACUUGGAGUAAAAGCCUCCUCAAAGUCGGUUUUGUCCGAAAGGCAAGAGUCCUUCUCGGACUCCAGGGCCAGACGCCAGGGUUCCUGGCAUCUGGACCCAGAUGCCAGGGACCCUGGCGUCUGGCCCCUGGACUCCGCAAAACUUCCUUUUGCGCAUUCCAAAAACCUUGUGGGCUUUCCCCUUUGGCCCAAAUAACGUGUUCUUGUAACCAAACAUUUCGGGAAACAUCCGGAACCCCUUACGGUGGAUUCCGGAACCUUUCCGGAGAUUAAACACUACUAUCCACAUAUCAAUCUUUACUUCCGGACCAUUUCGGAGUUCCCCGUCAUAUCCGUGAUCUCAUCCAAAAACUCCGAACAACAUUCGGUCGCCAACAUACAUAACUCAUAGUACUAUAUCGUCAACGAACGUUAAGCGUGCGGACCCUAUGGGUUCGAGAACUAUUUAGACAUGACCGAGACACGCCUCUGGUCAAUAACCAAUAGCGGGACCUGGAUGCCCAUCUUGGCUCCCACAUAUUCUACAAAGAUCUUUAUCGGUCAAACCGCAUAACAACAUACGUUGUUCCCUUUGCCAUCGGUAUGUUACUUGCCCGAGAUUCGAUCGUCGUUAUCUCAAUACCUAGUUCAAUCUCGUUACCGGCAAGUCUCUUUACUCGUUCCGUAAUACAUCAUCUCGCAACUAAAUCAUUAGUUGCAAUGCUUGCAAGGAUUAAGUGAUGUGCAUUACCUAGAGGGCCCAGAGAUACCUCUCCGACAAUCGGAGUGACAAAUCCUAAUCUCGAAAUACGCCAACCCAACAAGUACCUUUGGAGACACCUGUAGAGCACCUUUAUAAUCACCCAGUUACGAUGUGAUGUUUGGUAGCACACAAAGUGUUCCUUCGGUAAACGGGAGUUGCAUAAUCUCAUAUUCAUAGGAACAUGUAUAAGUCAUAAAGAAAGCAAUAGCAACAUACUAAACGAUCAAUUGCUAAGCUAACAGAAUGGGUCAAGUCAAUCACAUCACUCUCCUAAUGAUGUGAUCCCGUUAAUCAAAUGACAACUCAUGUCUAUGGCUAGGAAAUUUAACCAUCUUUGAUCAACGAGCUAGUCAAGUAGAGGCAUACUAGUGACACUCUGUUUGUCUAUGUAUCCACACAUGUACUAAGUUUCCGGUUAAUGCAAUUCUAGCAUGAAUAAUAAACAUUUAUUUUGAUAUAAGGCAAUAAAUAAUAACUUUAUUAUUGCCUCUAGGGCAUAUUUCCUUAAGUCUCCCACUUGCACUAGAGUCAAUAAUCUAGAUCACAUCGCCAUGUGAUUUAACAUCAAUAGUUCACAUCACCAUGUGAUUAACACCCAUAGUUCACAUCGUCAUGUAACCAACACCCAAAUGGUUUACUAGAGUCAAUAAUCUAGUUCACACCGCUAUGUUAUUAACACCCAAAGAGUACUAAGGUAUGAUCAGGUUUUGCUUGUGAGAGAAGUUUAGUCAACGGGUCUGUCAUAUUGAGAGCCGUAUGUAUUUUGCAAGUAUUCUAUGUCUACAAUGCUCUGCACGGAGCUACUCUAGCUAAUUGCUCCCAUUUUCAAUAUGUAUCCAGAUUGAGACUUAGAGUCAUCUGGAUCAGUGUAAAAGUUUGCACCGAUGUAACUUUUACAACGAAAUCUUUUAUCACCUCCAUAAUCGAGAAACAUCUCCUUAGUCCUCACUAAGGAUAUUCUUGACCGCUUUCCAGUGAUCUACUAUUAGAUCAAAAUUGUAUUCCUUUGUCAAACUCAGAGCAAGUUAUACAAUAGGUCUGGUUCAGAGCAUAGCAUACUUUAUAGAACCUAUGACUGAGGCAUAGGGAAUGACUUUUCAUUCUCUUUCUAUUUUCUGCCAUGGUUGGGUAGUCUUACUCAACUUCACACCUUGCAACACAGGCAAGAACUCCUUCUUUGACUGUUCCAUUUUGAACUAUUUCAAAAAAAUUAUCAAUGUAUGUACUAAUUGAAAAAUCUUAUCAAGCAUCUUGAUCUAUCUAUAUAGAUCUUGAUGCUCAAUGUGUAAGCAGCUUCACCGAGGUCUUGCUUUGAAAAACUCUUAUUCAAAUAUCCUUUCAUGCUAUCUAGAAUUUCUAUAUCAUUUCCAAUCAACAAUAUGUCAUCCACAUAUAAUAUUAGAAAUGCUACAGAGCUCCCACUCACUUUCUUGUAAAUACAGGCUUCUCAAAAAGUCUGUAUAAAACCAUAUGCUUUGAUCAACUCAUCAAAGCGUAUAUUCCAACUUCGAGAGGCUUGCACCAGUCCAUAAAUGGAUCGCUGGAGCUUACACACUUUGUUAGCACCUUUAGGAUUGACAAAACCUUUUGGUUGCAUCAUAUACAACUCUUCUUUAAUAAAUUCAUUAAGGAGUGCAAUUUUGACAUCCUUUUGCCAGAUUUCAUAAAAUGUGGCAAUUGCUAACAUGAUUCAGACAGACUUAAGCAUCGAUAUGAGUGAGAAAAUCUCAUCGUAUUCAACACCCUGAACUUGUCGAAAAACCUUUUAUGCGACAAGUCGAGCUUUGUAGAUAGUAACACUACUAUCAGCGUCCGUCUUCCUCUUGAAGAUCCAUUUAUUUACUAUGGCUUGCCGAUCAUCGGGCAAGACAACCAAAGUCCACACUUUGUUCUCAUACAUGGAUCCCAUCUCAGAUUUCAUGGCCUCAAGCCAUUUCAUGGAAUCUGGGCUCAUCAUCGCUUCCUCAUAGUUCGUAGGUUCAUCAUGGUCUAGUUACAUGACUUCCAGAAUAGGAUUACCAUACUACUCUGGUACGGAUCUUAUUCUGGGAGACCUACGAGGUUCUGUAGUAACUUGAUCUGAAGUUUCAUAAUCAUCAUCAUUAGCUUCCUCACUAAUUGGUGUAGGAAUGACUGAAACUGAUUUCUGUGAUGAACUACUUUCCAAUAAGGGAGAAGGUACAAUUGCCUCAUCAAGUUCUACUUUCCUCCCACUCACUUCUUUCGAGAGAAACUCCUUCUCUAGAAAGGAUCCAUCUUAGCAACGAAUAUCUUGCUUUCGGAUCUGUGAUAGAAGGUGUACCCAACAGUUUCCUUUGGGUAUUCUAUGAAGACGCACUUCUCCGAUUUGGGUCGAGCUUAUCAGGUUGAAACUUUUGCACAUAAGCAUCGCAGACCCAAACUUUAAGAAACGACAACUUUGGUUUCUUGCCAAACCACAGUUCAGAAGCCGUCGUCUCAACGGAUUUUGAUGGUGCCCUAUUUAAAGUGAACGCAACUAUCUCUAAUGCAUAACCUCAAAACGGUAGUGGUAAAUCGGUAAGAUACAUCAUAGAUCGCACCAUAUCCAAUAAAGUGCGGUUAUGACGUUCGGACACACCAUUACGCUGUGGUGUUCCAUGUGGCGUGAGCUGUGAAACUAUUCCACAUUGUUUAAAAUGAAGGCCAAACUCGUAGCUCAAAUAUUCAUCUCUAUGAUCAGAUCAUAGAAACUUUAUUUUCUUGUUACGAUGAUUUUUCCACUUCACUCUGAAAUUCUUUGAACUUUUCAACUAUUUCAGACUUAUGUUUCAUCAAGUAGAUAUACGCAUAUCUGCUCAAAUCAUCUGUGAAGGUCAGAAAAUAAUGAUACUUGCCACAAGCAUCAACACUCAUUGGAUCGCAUACAUCGGUAUGUACUAUUUCCAACAAGUCAGUAGCUCGUUCCAUUGUUCCGGAGAAUGGAGUUUUAGUCAUCUUGCCCAAAAGGCACGGUUCACAAGCAUCAAAUGAUUAAUAACCAAGUGAUUCCAAAAGUCCAUCUUUAUGGAGUUUCUUCAUGCGCUUUACACCGAUAUGACCCAAACGGCAGUGCCACAAAUAAGUUACACUAUCAUUGUCAACUUUGCAUCUUUUGGCAUCAAUAUUAUGAAUAUGUGUAUUACUACGAUCAAGAUCCAACAAACUAUUUUCAUUGGGUGUAUGACCAUCGAAGUUUUUAUUUAUGUAAAUAGAACAACAAUUAUUCCUUGACUUUAAGUGAAUAACCGUAUCGCAAUAAACAUGAUCAAAUCAUAUUCAUGCUCAACGCAAAUGCCAAAUAACAUUUAUUUGGGUUUUACACUAAUCCCGAAAGUAUAGGGAGUGUGCGAUCAUGAUCAUAUCAAUCUUGGAACCAUUUCCAAUACACAUCAUCACUUCACCCUCAACUAGUCUCUGUUUAUUCUGUAACUCCUGUUUCGAGUCACUAAUUUUUAGCAACCGAACAAGUAUCGAAUACUCAGGGUCUACUAUAAACACUAGUAAGGUACACAUCAAUAACCUGUAUAUCAAAUAUACCCUUGUUCACUAUGCCAUCCUUCUUAUCCACCAAAUAUUCAGGGUAUUUUCGUUUCAAGUGACCAUUUCCUUUGUAGUGUAAGCACUCAGUUUCAGGCUUUGGUUCAGCUUUGGGCUUCUUCAUGGGAGUGACAACUUGCUUGUCAUUCUACUUGAAGUUCCCUUUCUUUUCCUUUGCCAUUUUCUUGAAACUAGUGAUCUUGUCAACCAUCAACACUUGAUGCUCUUUCUUGAUUUCUACCUUCGUUGAUUUCAACAUCACGAAGAGCUCGGGAAUCAUUUUCGUCAUCCCUUGCAUACUAUAGUUCAUCACAAAGUUCUACUAACUUGGUGAUGGUGACUAGAGAACUCUGUCAAUCACUAUCUUAUCUGGAAGAUCAACUCCCACUUGAUUCAAGCGAUUGUAGUACCCAGACAAUCUGAGCACAUGCUCACUAGUUGAGCGAUUCUCCUCCAUCUUUUAGCCAUAGAACUUUUUGGAGACUUCAUAUCUCUCAACUCGGGUAUUUGCUUGAAAUAUUAACUUCAACUCCUGGAACAUCUCAUAUGGUCCAUGCCGUUCAAAACGUCUUUGAAGUCCUGAUUCUAAGCCAUUAAGUAUGGUUCACUAGACUAUCAAGUAGUCAUCAUAUUGAGCUAGCCAGAUGUUCAUAACGUCUGCAUCUGCUCCUCAAUAGGUCUGUCACCUAGCGGUGCAUUACGGACAUAAUUUGUCUGUGUAGCAAUGAGGAUAAACCUUAGAUCAUGGAUCCAAUACGCAUCAUUGCUACUAACAUCUUUCAACACAAUUUUCUCUAGGAACAUAUCAAAAUAAACAUAUGAAAGCAACAACGCAAGCUAUUGAUCUACAACAUAAUUUGCAAAAUACUACCAGGACUAAGUUCAUGAUAAAUCUAAGUUCAAUUAAUCAUAUUACUUAAGAACACCCACUUAGAUAGACAUCCCUAUAAUCCUCUAAGUGAUCACGUGAUCCAAAUCAACUAAACCAUGUCCGAUCAUCACGUGAGAUGGAGUAGUUUCAAUGAUGAACAUCACUAUGUUGAUCAUAUCUACUAUAUGAUUCACGCUCGACCUUUCGGUCUCCGUGUUCUGAGGCCAUAUAUGUAUAUGCUAGGCUCGUCAAGUUUAACCUGAGUAUUCCGUGUGUGCAACUGUUUUGCACCCGUUGUAUUUGAACGUAGAGCCUAUCACACCUGAUCAUCACGUGGUGUCUCAGCACGAAGAACUUUCGCAACGGUGCAUACUCAGGGAGAACACUUCUUGAUAAUUAGUGAGAGAUCAUCUUAAAAUGCUACCGUCAAUCAAAGCAAGAUAAGAUGCAUAAAGGAUAAACAUCACAUGCAAUCAAUAUAAGUGAUAUGAUAUGGCCAUCAUCAUCUUGUGUUUGAGAUCUCCAUCUCCGAAGCACCGUCGUGAUCACCAUCGUCACCGGCGCGACACCUUGAUCUCCACCGUAUCAUCGUUGUCGUUUACGCCAUCUAUUGCUUCUACGACUAUCGCUACCGCUUAGUGAUAAAGUAAAGCACUUACAGGGCGCUUGCAUUUCAUACAAUAAAGCAACAACCAUAUGGGUCCUGCCAGUUGCCGAUAACUCGGUUACUAAACAUGAUAAUCUCAUACAAUAAAAUAUAGCAUCACGUCUUGACCAUAUCACAUCACAACAUGCCUUGCAAAAACAAGUUAGACUUCCUCUACUUUGGUGUUGCAAAUUUUACGUGGCUGCUACAGGCUGAGCAAGAACCGUUCUUACCUACGCAUCAAAAUCACAACGAUAGUUCGUCAAGUUAGUGAUGUUUUAACCUUCGCAAGGACCGGGCGUAGCCACACUCGGUUCAACUAAAGUUGGAGAAACAGACACCCGCCAGCCACCUGUGUGCAAAGCACGUCAGUAGAAACAGUCUCGCAUAAGCGUACACGUAAUCUCGGCCCGGGCCGCUUCAUCCAACAAUACCGCCGAACCAAGGUAUGACAUGCUGGUAAGAAGUAUGACUUGUAUCGCCCACAACUCAUUUGUGUUCUACUCAUGCAUAUAACAUCUACGCAUAAAACCUGGCUCGGAUGCCACUGUUGGGGAAUGUAGUAAUUUUAAAAAAUAUCCUACGUACACGCAAGAUCAUGGUGAUGCAUAGCAACGAGAGGGGAAUGUAUCUUCAUACCCUUGAAGAUCGCUAAGCGGAAGCGUUUAUCAACGCGGUUGAUGUAUUCGUACGUCUUCACGAUUCGACCGAUCCAUGUACUGAACGCAUGGCACCUCUGAGUUUUGCACAUGUUCAACUCGAUGACGUCCUCGCCUUCUUGAUCCAGAGAGACGGGCGAAAUAGUAGAUGAGUUCCGGCAGCACGACGGCGUGGUGACGGUGUUGGUGAAGAAGAAUCUCCGUAGGGCUUCGCCUAAGCACUACAGAAACUAUGACGGGGGAUAAACUAGAGGGGACGGGGUUACCGGCACACGGCUUGGUGUUUCUUGAUGUGUCUUGGGUGCUAGCCCUACCCCUCUAUUUAUAUGUUGAGCCUUGGGGUCAAAACUUGGAGUAAAAGCCUCCUCAAAGUCGGUUUUGCCCGAAAGGCAAGAGUCUGGACUCCACAAAACUUCCUUUUGCGCUUUCCAAAAACCUUGUGGGCUUUCCCCUUUGGCCCAAAUAACGUGUUCUUGUACCCAAACAUUUCGGGAAACAUCUGGAACCCCUUCAGGUGGAUUCCGGAACUUUUCCGGAGAUCAAACACUACUAUCCACAUAUCAAUCUUUACUUCCGCAGCAUUCCGGAGUUCCUCGUCAUAUCCGUGAUCUCAUCCAAAAACUCCGAACAACAUUCGAUCACCAACAUACAUAACUCAUAGUACUAUAUCGUCAACGAACGUUAAGUGUGCGGACCCUAUGGGUUCGAGAACUAUGUAGACAUGACCGAGACACAUCUCUGGUCAAUAACCAAUAGCGGACCUGGAUGCCCAUAUUGGCUCCCACAUAUUCUACGAAGAUCUUUAUCGAUCAAACCGCAUAACAACAUACGUUGUUCCCUUUGUCAUCAGUAUGUUACUUGCCCGAGAUUCGAUCGUCGGUAUCUCAAUACCUAGUUCAAUCUCAUUACCGGCAAGUCUCUUUACUCGUUCCGUAAUACAUCAUCUCGCAACUAACUCAUUAGUUGCAAUGCUUGCAAGGCUUAAGUGACGUGCAUUACCGAGAGGGCCCAGAGAUACCUCUCCGACAAUCGGAGUGACAAAUCCUAAUCUCGAAAUACGCCAACCCAACAAGUACCUUCGGAGACACCUGUAGAGCACAUUUAUAAUCACCCAGUUAAGUUGUGAUGUUUGGUAGCACACAAAGUGUUCAUCCGGUAAACGGGAGUUGCAUAAUCUCAUAGUCAUAGGAACAUGUAUAAGUCAUGAAGAAAGCAAUAGCAACAUACUAAACGAUCGAUUGCUAAGCUAACGGAAUGGGUCAAGUCAAUCACAUCAUUCUCCUAAUGAUGUGAUCCCGUUAAUCAAAUGACAAAUCAUGUCUAUGGCUAGGAAACUUAACCAUCUUUGAUCAACGAGCUAGUCAAGUAGAGGAAUACUAGUGACACUCUGUUUGUCUAUGUAUUCACACAUGUACUAAGUUUCCAAUUAUUACAAUUCUAGCAUGAAUAACAAACAUUUAUCAUGAUAUAAGGAAAUAAAUAAUAACUUUAUUAUUGCCUCUAGGGCAUAUUUCCGAUGGUUGAUGAUGACGAUGGUGACAGAUUCCCCUCUCCGGAGCCCCGAACGGACUCCAGAUCAGUCCUCAUGGGGAAGAUUAGGGCUUGGCGGUGGCUCCGUAUCGUAAAACAUGAUGAAUCCUUCUCUUUGAUUUUUUUUCUCUUCGAACGUGAUUAUAUAGAGUUGGAGUUGAGGUUGGUGGAGGUCUAGGGGGCCCACGAGGCAGGGGGCGCGCCCUAGGGGGGGUGGACGCGCCCUGCACCCUCGUGGACAGGGUGUGGGCCCCCUUAUGCUUAUUCUUUUGCCAAUGUUGUUUAUUAAUUCCAAAACGUGUCUCCGUCGAUUUUCAGGUCAUUCCGAGAACUUUUAUUUCUGCACAAAAAUAACACCAUGGGAAUUCUGCUGAAAACAGCGUUAGUCCGGGUUAGUUCCAUUCAAAUCAUGCAAGUUAGAAUCCAAAACAAGAGCAAAAGUAUUUGGAAAAGUAGAUACGUUGGAGACGUAUCAGUCGCUUCCCGCUGCUUGGCCUGGCCAAAUUUGACCUUUAGUACCGGUUAGUGGCUCCAAUCGGUACUAAAGGUCCAUCCUAUAUAAGCAAUGCUGACGAAAAUUUCAGUUUCUUCUCCUCUUCCUCUGCUUCUUCAACCUUGUCGCGCCGUCGCCCGUCCCCGGCGCCUCCCCGGCCUAUCGCCGCCCCCAUCACGCGCAGCUACUAUCGCCGUCCCCAUCGCCGCGCCCGUCCCCGUCAUUACACGCCGCCCCCGGCCCGUCCCAUCGCGCGCGUGCCGCCCCGGCCCGUCCCCGUCGCUGCCACCCGUCGUCGACCCCGUCGCCUCACAUCGCCGGUUGUCACCCAGCUGUAAGACCGUCCCUGCCGCGCCAUGGCCGCGCUCACACACACACUCAGUACACACGACACACACAGAGAGAAAAUGUUAGAUGAUUAGAUGAAUUAGCUAGAUAUUAAUGUCAAAUGUUAGAUGAAUUUUAUGAAUUAGCUAGAUAUUAAUGUUAGAUGAGUAAGUUUUUUAAUUCUUUUAGUUAUAAAUGAAUUAGAUAUAUUAAUGUUAGAUAUUAGCAUGAAUAUAUAUAAACUUCAGGUUGUUAUCAAUUUGAUGAUAUUGUUCAAAAUGAAUGUCCACGAUAAACUCUAUUGACAAAUCUAACAACUCGCGAUGAACACAAAGGCCAAGAUAGCAAAAAAUAUUGACUUCAUUGCAAUAUUUUCUAAGGCAUCAAAUGUUAAUAAUAGAUCAUAACUCAUAGGAAUAACCAACCUGGUAAAGUUUAUUCUAGCCGGUCUUCUAAAUUUCUACAAAUUAAUAGAACUAGUUGAAUUCUAUAUGAGAUUUGAAUUAGUAAGUUCUUAGUUGAAUUAGUAAGAAAAUUAGUAAGUGCUUAGUUGAAUUAGUAAGAAAAUAAAUUAUUUUUAUUUAUAGUAAGUGAUUAGUUGAAUUAGUACAAGUUGAGUCAUCUAUUUUGGAACGGAGGGAGUAGUUGUGUAGAGGAAUAUAAUGGAAAAGGUCAUACUGUUUCAAUGGAUAGGUAAACAUUAAAAAAUGUCAUCCAUUUAAUACUCGAACAAAGGACAGUUCCCUACUAUGUUUAGAAGAAUAGCUUUAUACUUCCUCCGUUUCUUUUUGGUCUUCACAUAAGAUUUGGUCAAAGUCAAACUUUGUAAAAUUUAACCAGCUUUAUAUGAAAAGAUAUCAACACUCACACUAUGAAAUCAAUGUUAUUAGAUGCAUUAUGGAAUUAAUUUUCAUAACAUAUAACUUUUGUAUGGUAGAUGUUGAUUUUUUUCUAUGAAGUUAGUCAAACUUUAUAAAGUUUGACUUUGACCAAAUCUUAUAUGCAGACUAAAAAGAAACGGAGUGAGUAAUAAAGAAACGUCAGGCAACUGGCAGUCACCCUUGUGCGCUAAAAAUUGCAAUGGUGCAAAAACAAUUAAGUGGUAUACAUACUGUGAUGUUUGGUUUGCAUGAGUGUUUUAUCAAUUUAACGGAUUUAUAUGGUACGAUCUUAUAUAUAAUCUUAUUUAUUAGGUUCGUUAAUUGGCUCUGUGAUGUAUACUUGAUAACCGCAGAUAAGUACGUACUCGUAGUAGCUAGCUAGCAAUAAUUCAGUCGUGCCACAUGCUCGCUUACAGGCCGCCAUGCAUGUAUCUUCUCCGAUGGACAGAAGUUCAAAUAUGACUUGGUGUCUCACACUCAAAUUAAUUUCUGAAACGGAUUAUCCAUAGAAAGAAUCUCUCGCACAAAUGACUAGAACAGCAGCUGAUCGAUGUUAGGUACGAGCAAACAAGUAUAUUAUAGUAAGAUAAACUCACAUUUAGUGCAAGUUGUGCAAUGCGAAAAGGACACAACACUAUUUAAAAAAUAAUAAUAGACCACUAGCAGAACAGUUGGUCUAUACUUUGUUCUAAUGUGCCAUGUUGCGAGAAAAAUAAAACCAGCCACCUACGAUUAAAAAUAUUGUAAUUCUCGUGAAACAACGAUUAUCCUGCGAUUCCCUGCUUCUAGCAUGCGCUUCCUAUGACCAGGCCACUAAGUCGGAAUUUCCGAGCGUAGCUUUUUCUUUCCCCUCUCGCAAGGCGACUAGGGAAAGCAUUUCUCCCUUUGAUCUUCCUCGUGUGAGCCCGUGGAUUCGCCUCCACUCCACCUGCCGUUUUAGCGGCCGAUAGCGGUCGGGAGGGUAUUUCUGGUGCCUCGGCUUAUAUAGGUAGGGUUUUGGUUCUUGCAAGGGCGGCGCUCGAACGGAUGGCAGAGCUUCUUCUUCGAGUCAGUCUUCUGGGCUCCCAUUCUCCUCAAGUUCGUUCCUGGGGAUGGAUUAGACAAAGCUCCAGCAUGGAUUCCUGCCAGCUCCUUGAACGACGAGGUUUGGCUUUCUUGUCGUGCAUACGCAAUAGCAAGAUUUUCUGUUAGAUUCUUCAGAUCAAUUCAACGAUUCGAUGGUGACUACUGGGACUCCCGAACUCUGGUCCUUAAGGGCACGUGCACAAAGACUUCCCGGUUGUCAUCGACAAGGUAAGGCCGGAUCCGGUAUAUGAGCGACAAUAGCGACGCGUCGGCAGCUCAUUCUGGCGGCGGCAAUGGUCGUUCGGUUGUCCAUGAACCUCGAUGUAAUUUUUAUGAUGUUUGGGGUGCUCUGUACUUCCAGUGAAUCUUUAUAAUAGAUAUGAUAUUUUCGUAAAAAAAAGUUAGAAUUUCAGAAAACCGGCCGGUUUCCAAAAAUUUUGUUUGAAAGAAACCCUGCGAUAGUACAACAGCCACCCAUGAUGGGACGCUGCGAUCAACCUAAGCGCCCGCCUAUAUAAGCAGCAGGUCCGUGAUUGCCUCCCACACUCGAAGGGUCCAAAGAUAAUCUUCAUCUUCACCGCCCACACGCCGUAGUUGGCGUCGAUGAGCAUCAGGUACUGUAUGGGGAUGUUGCCGUGCGACAGCACGUUGGCGCCGCCCCUUCCUCCACCACUGGUCGCUGAAUUUACGCCCUAGUUCACCUUAUCGCCGUUCUUGUUCACGUUGGAACCAACGUUACCGGACUUGUUCGCCUUGGAACCGCCGUUGCCGGACUUGGAGUUGACCCACUCCUGAUCGAUGUUCCCCAUCAUAGAUCGUAGAUCGUUGAGGCUUGAGAUACCAAUUAUUGGCUUUAUAACACUAGAUCAAUUCACCAGGAGCUACAAUGUGUAUGUGCAGCAAAGCUAUCAAGCAAGCAAGCCACUAUAAGUAUUUUAUCAAUUUGACGGAUUGACAUGGUAUGUCGUAUAUAUAAGUUGAUUUAUUUGGUUCGUUAAUUUGUUCAAUGAUGUACAGUUCAUAAUCGAGGAUAAGAACUAGCUAGCUAGCAAUAAUACAUACUCGCGUACCACAAUUAUGUUUCUUCAAUGAUCAUGAUUGAGAUGGAGAUUAUUUAGAGCUACUUUAUAAUCAGUUUGUUUAUAAGAGUGAACAAUUACAUUACUCCAGGUUUGUUGCCAGCAUAGUUGCAAUUUUAACAAUGGUUGCUGCCACCUGCCUGCCGUUCAAGUACUAUAAAGGAUUGCCUCUCAGUGCAGCAGCGCACACCGCCCAUGAAAGCGAUGCGACAGCUAUGGCGAGGUUCACCGCGGCACAUCCAGUGCUCGUGCAGGCGAAGUACGGAGUUUUUUCCAUGACACGCAGAGCACGAAGAAAGAAGAUGCAACGGCCAGCAGCCGUUGCCCAAAAUGGCAAUGGUGCAAAAAAGAUUAGGUGGUAUAUACGCCGGCAUGUUCGAUAGACACGACUUCAUCAUUUUAACAGAUUGAUACAGUUGUAUAUGUAAUUUAUUAGAUUCCUUAAUGAUUUAACCCCUAUGUGCUUUCCCUAAAGUUGCAAAACACGCUGUCGAAACUGCGUUAGGAAGGAUUUUCUUGACAUGCCAAGGCUAGUUCUGUACUUUUUUUGAACACAGUACAAAAGCAAGCGCUCUUACAUACGCGCAUAUACUCACCCUUAUGAACGCACACACGCACACUCUACCCAUAUGAGCACCUCCGAGAGACUGAGCCAACAUAUCAUCUUGCGCAUCGCCGGAAAUCAUGAAAUUAAUUCGGAAAUAAUGCGAGCACCAGUACUAGUUGUGUGGAAGAAUAUAAUGGAAAAGGUUACACUGGUUGAAUGUUCAAGUAAACAUUCAAAAACGUCAUCCUUUUAAUACUCGAACAAAGUACAGUUCUGUACGAGUUAUGUUUAGAAGAUUCGGUGGUAUACAUACUGUCAUGUUUGGUUUGCAUGAGUGUUUUAUCGAUUUAACGGAAUGAUAUGGUACGUCUUAGUCCUAUAUAUAAUCUUAUCUAUUAGGAUAGUUAAUUGGCUCAGUAAUGUACACUUGAUAACCGAAUAUAAGUACGUACUCAUAGUAGCUAGCUAGCAAUGAUUCGGUCGUACCACAUGCUCGCUUACAGGCCACCAUGCAUGGUUCUUCUCCGAUGGACAGAAGUUCAAAUAUGACUUGGUGUCUCACACUCAAAUUAGUUUCUGAAACGCAUUAUCCAUGGAAAGAUUCUCUAGCACAAAUGACUAGCACAACAGCUGAUCGAUGUUAGGUAUGAGCAAACAAGUACUCUCUCCGUUCCAAAAUAGAUGACCCAACUUUGCACUAAAUGGUCAUCUAUUUUAGAACGGAGGGAGUACAUUAUAGUAACAUAAACUCACAUUUAGUUCAAGUUGUGCAAUGCGAAAAGGACACAACACUAUUUAGCGGAAUAGUUGGUGUAUACUUUGUUCUAAUGUGCCAUGUUGCGAGAAAAAAAAACACCACAUAGAAAUAAAAAAAUGUAAAUCUCGUGAAACAGGGAUGGAACCCGCGACUCCGUGUCAUUAGCAUGCGCUUCCUUUGAACCAGGCCACUAAGCAAGUUCUACACACGUGUGCAUACAUUUUCUCUUUGACCUUGUUCACUUAUUUAAAUUCAAAACAAUUUGAUUUUUUCAGACGGUAUUUCAUUGUUUCGCGAAUUUCCAAAAAUCUCGUUUGAAAAAAAAAACCUGCGACAGUACAUCUGCCACCCACGACGUGCUGCUGCGAUGGAACUAGCUAGGCGCCCGCCUAUAUAAGCAUGAGGUCCGGUGCAUGUAUUCCAGACAAGGAUACAACCUGAGCUAAUCAAGAUGGCUUCCUCCACGCCUUACCGUGUCCUACUCUUGUGCCUCACCACUUUCCUGCAGGCAUGGCUUGCUGCGGCAAAAUACCCGCCGCAUAACCCACCGCCGCCGCCCCCGCCGUUUGAGCUGCCGGAGUCCGACGUGAGGGAGAGGUUCUCCAAGUGGGUGAUCAAGUACUCAAAGCACUACUCGUGCCAUGAGGAGGAGGAGAUGCGGUUCCAAGUCUUCAAGAACAACACCAACGCCAUCGGCCAAUUCGACCAACAGAAUCCUGGCACCGUCGUCGGUCNNNNNNNNNNUAAAUUCAAAACAAUUUGAUUUUUUCAGACGGUAUUUCAUUGUUUCGCGAAUUUCCAAAAAUCUCGUUUGAAAAAAAAAACCUGCGACUGUACAUCAGCCACCCACGACGUGCUGCUGCGAUGGAACUAGCUAGGCGCCCGCCUAUAUAAGCAUGAGGUCCGGUGCAUGUAUUCCAGACAAGGAUACAACCUGAGCUAAUCAAGAUGGCUUCCUCCACGCCUUACCGUGUCCUACUCUUGUGCCUCACCACUUUCCUGCAGGCAUGGCUUGCUGCGGCAAAAUACCCGCCGCAUAACCCACCGCCGCCGCCCCCGCCGUUUGAGCUGCCGGAGUCCGACGUGAGGGAGAGGUUCUCCAAGUGGGUGAUCAAGUACUCAAAGCACUACUCGUGCCAUGAGGAGGAGGAGAUGCGGUUCCAAGUCUUCAAGAACAACACCAACGCCAUCGGCCAAUUCGACCAACAGAAUCCUGGCACCGUCGUCGGUCGCGGGUUCCGACCAACUGGGUUUCAGGUCCGUGGCUCGGGCGGGGUCCGUAUGAACAGGUUCGGCGACCUCAGUCCCAGGGAGGUCAUCCAGCAGUUCACCGGGCUCAACACCACCAGCUUCAAUGCCACGUCACCCACCUACCUCCCCUACCACUCCUUCAAGCCGUGCUGCGUUGACUGGCGCUCCAGCGGCGCUGUCACCGGCGUCAAGAAUCAAGGCACUUGUGGUAAACGGUCAAGCUAUACUUUCUACUAGCAGAUUUAGUUAUAUACUCAUGCAUGGUCAUGGUUGCUCAAUGAAUUACUCGUGUCGUCGUGCGGAUGGAUAAAAUUGUAAUAUGGCAGGAUCAUGCUGGGCAUUCGCGGCGGUGGCGGCGAUCGAAGGCAUGAACAAGAUUAGGACAGGGGAGCUGGUGUCGCUGUCCGAGCAGGUACUCGUGGAUUGCGACACACGGAGCGGCGGCUGCGGCGGCGGCCACUCAGACUCGGCUAUGGCCCUCGUGGCCGCCCGUGGUGGCAUCACGUCGGAGGAGAGGUACCCAUACGCCGGAUUCCAGGGAAAGUGCGACAUGGACAAGCUCCUCUUCGACCACCAGGCGUCCCUCAAGGGCUUCAAGGCCGUGCCACCCAACAACGAAGGUCAGCUGGCGAUUGCCGUGGCCAUGCAGCCCGUGACGGUCUACAUUGACGCCAGCGGUUUUGAGUUCCAGUUCUACUCCGGCGGCAUCUACCGUGGCCCCUGCUCCGCCAAUGUGAACCACGCCGUCACCAUCGUCGGCUACUGCGAGGGUCCCGGCGAGGGAAACAAGUACUGGAUUGCCAAGAACUCGUGGAGCAACGACUGGGGUGAACAAGGAUAUGUCUACCUCGCAAAGGACGUGCCCUCGUCCACGGGCACAUGUGGCCUCGCCACCUCGCCCUUCUACCCCACGGCUUGACCACAGGCAGCACUAUGUGUGAUAUCUAAGGAAUUGCUUCCGUUUCGUUGUGAUAAUGCUAAAUUAUUAUUUUGAUUAUACUUCCCUUUAAUUUGAUCAAUAAUAGGUAGACCGUGCGUGCAAUAUAUCAUGGCCUGAGUAAUAAAGUUUCGAGUGAAUUACACUUUUUACAAGUUAAUUGUGCAAUUUUUUGUGACACGUAUUUACCGAUUUAGCAGAUGUUGCAUCGAAAUGUCCCAUCUAAAAAACAUUGUACCAGAUUUUACUCCAUUUUAGCAUUUCGCCUAUUAUUAGAUAUGACCCGCAUGUUAGGUAGGUACUUUAACAACAAUGUGUAAACAUCUCAGGACAGGAUGGACUAUCAUGUUUAGCCUUCUCUUCUCCAUGUAUUCCACUGCUCGCCAUCCUUAUGGUAUCCUCUAACGGUGAUCAUCGCCGCACGCAUUUUACAAUCGACACCCAUGAGAGAAACAUGGUACAAAGUUUUAAAAUAGGGUAAUGUAGACGAAUGCUCAUGAAAUGGGUUAACUGGUUCCGCGAAUGUACAAAUUGGAGGUAAAAAGUGAAGCUCAGUCUGAAUUUACAGAUAACAUGUUGGGUACUGUCAUGCUCGUGUGUUCUCUUCUUUGUUUCUACUUCUCUGUUGGGAUUAUUUUUCUAAAAUCAAAUUUGCAUGUGCAAUGAGCAUUUUUACGGUACCGUUAAAAACAUAUGAAAACUCCAUUUGUUAGAUUGUGAUGGCUGAAGAUUAGACGUAGAUAUAUAGGAUUGCCACCUCUAAAAUCCGUGGGGUACAUUUUGAAGUCGUAAUCAAGACAAAAUUACUGUGCCGUCAGAUCAUCUCAAUUGUGCUCCUGUUAUUAUGUACGCAUACCCCCAUAUUUUCUUCGUUUCUGGACGUCUAAACACAAGAUCUGAACGAAUCGGGGCGGAUGUCCCCCAAGUGUACCCCCAAAUGGAUUACUAUUUCCGCGACCAAUUAAGCAUCUAAUAGCGAAUAUUGCAAAGUAACAUAGAACAGGAAAAUGUAUACUAGUAGUCCUUGCAUCUGAAACUUUUCUCAUUUAUCCUAUAGCAAUUCUAUCAGUAAAUCCAUCCAUAUCUCUAGGAUGUGGUUCCUCGAUGCUGCCCACAAAGGGCAACUUGCAAACCAAACAAAAAUCAUAGAGUGACAUCUUCUUAACCUCAUCAUAUAAGUAAAACUCCACUGAAGGUGGUGAUUUUCUAGCAUGGAAAUAAAAGUUUUGCAUGAAAAUAUUAGUGAGUAGGAGAUACUGUUUACACUGGUCGUGGAGGAAGUCGGUGAUGCCUGCAUUCUCAGCCAAAUAAUAAAAGUCGUCGUAAAUUCUGGCGGCUCUCAAAAAUGCAUCACAAGGCCAUUCGCACGACCGAACCUCCACAACGCGAGGAAGAUUGUAUUUGGGCUUUUUAUUCUCCUCAUUCUGCUUAUCAUUCGAGCUUCGGCUCGAGGAGCCCCGCAGGAAUCACUUCAUCAUUUUCGUUCUCUGAAAAAAUUCUGAAAUUUUUAGUGACUCAAAAUAGAAGUGAAUCAGACUCAACAAAAUUGAUAGCAACUACUCCCACAAGUGCCUAGAGGCUAUAUCAUGCAUUAAAACUACUUUGGACCAUAUAAAUUUGACAUGCAAGCUCAAGAACAAGGUCACCUCAGCAGCAAAAUUUUGUAAUAAAUAAAGCACUAGAACAAAAACUAAUUGGACCAUUGGAGGAGUCACAUACCGAAGAACAAUCCCUCAAAGCAGUUUUGUGAAUGGAGCUUUGAGUAAGGAGAUCGAAAAUGGCAGCAAAACGAGCUAGAACACGAGUUUGAGCUACAGGAUGAUUUUUUGGAGGAAGACAAAGUGUGUGGGUGCUGGAAUAAGUGGAGAGGGGCCACGUGGGGUCCACGAGGCAGGGGGCGCGCCCGAGGGGUGUGGGCGCGCCCUGUGCCCUUGUGGCCAAAUGGUGGGUACCCCUGGUGUGUUCUAAGUGCCAGAAAUUCUUAAAUAUUCUAUAAAAAAUCAUACUCCAUUUUUAGGGCAUUUAGAGAACUUUUAUUUUCAGGAUAUUUUUUAUUGCAAGGAUAAUUCAGAAAACAGACAGAAAAUACUAUUUUUACUUUAUUUAAUCUAAAUAACAGAAAGUAAAAUGAUGGUACAGAGAGUUUUGCUUUCUAAUUUCAUCCAUCUCAUGCUCAUCAAAAGGAAUCCACUAACAAGGUUGAUCAAGUCUUGUUAACAAACUACUUCCGAAUAACAUGUAACCAGAGAAUUUCCGAAUACCACUAGGUUACCUCAACGGGGAUAUGCAUGUCCCUAAUAUUAAGAAUAUCAUAUUUCUUUUUUAUAGUAGGAAGAGGUAAUUCAAAACCUCCAAUAGUAAUCAUUGAAAAUUUUCCAAUAGAAUUGAUACUAUGAACUUGAGGUUGUUUCUUCAGACAGUGUAUCGUAUGCUCAUUAUCAUUAACAUGAAAGGUGACACUGCCUUUGUUGCAAUCAAUAAUAGCCCCUGCAGUAUUAAAAAAGGGUCUACCAAGGAUAAUCGACAUACUGUCGUCCUCGGAAAUAUUAAGAAUAACAAAGUCCAUUAAAAUAGUAACGUUUGCAACCACAACAGUCACAUCCUCACAAAUACCAACGGGUAUAGCGGUUGAUUUAUCGGCCAUUUGCAAAGAGAUUUCAGUAGGUGUCAACUUAUUCAAAUCAAGUCUACGAUAUAAGGAGAGAGGCAUAACAGUGACACCGGCUCCAAGAUCACAUAAAGUAGUUUUAACAUAGUUUCUUUUAAAGGAGCAUGGUAUAGUUGGUACUCCUGGAUCUCCAAGUUUCUUUAGUAUUCCACCCUUAAAAGUAUAAUUAGCAAGCAGGGUGGGAAUUUCAGCUUCCGGUAUCUUCCUUUUAUUUGUAACAAUAUCUUUCAUAUACUUAGCAUAAGGAUUCAUUUUAAGAAUGUCUGUCAAAUGCAUACGCAAAAAGAUAGGUCUAAUCAUUUCAGCAAAGCACUCAAAAUCCUCAUCAUCCUUUUUCUUGGAUGGCUUAGGAGGAAAAGGCAUGGGUUUCUGAACCCAUGGUUCUCUUUCUUUACCAUGCUUCCUAGCAAAGAAGUCUCUCUUAUCAUAUCGUUGAUUCUUUGAUUGUGGGUUAUCAAGAUCAACAUCAGGUUCAAUCUCUACAUCAUUGUUAUUGCUAGGUUGAGCAUCAACAUGAACAUCAUCAUUAACAUUAUCACUAGGUUCAUGUUCAUUACCAAAUUGUGUUUCAGCAUCAGAAAUAGAAAUAUCAUUGGGAUUCUCAGGUGUAUCUAUAACAGGUUCACUAGAAGCAUGCAAAGUCCUAUCAAUUUUCCUUUUCUUUUCUUAGAAUGGCUAGGUGCAUCAACUUAGUUCUCUGAGAAUCUUGCUCAACUCUCUUAGGAUGGCCCUCAGUAUACAAACGUUCCUGGGUCAUUUUACCACCUCUAGUCAUAACUCUAACAUCAUUAUCAUUGUUCUUAUUAUUUAAUUCAUUGAGCAAAUCGUCUUUUUCUUUAAGUACUUGUUCUACUUGAGUGGUAACCAUGGAUGCAUGUUUACUAAUAAGCUUAAGGUCACCUUUAACUCUAGACAUAUAAUCACUCAAGUGUUCAACCAUAUAAGCAUUACGUUUCAAUUGUCUACCAACAUAAGCAUUGAAGUUUUCUUGUUUAACAAUAAAAUUAUCAAACUCAUCCAGGCAUUGACUAGCAGACUUAUUACGAGGAAUAUCACCUUCAUCAAAUCUAUAGAGAUAAUUUGCCUUUACUACCUGUGUCGGGUUAUUAAGACCAUGUAUUUCUUCAAUAGGUGGCAAAUUCUUAACAUCUUCAACUUUAAUACCUUUUUCUUUCAUAGAUUUCUUUACCUCUUGCAUAUCUUUAGGACUGAGAAAUAGUAUACCCCUUUUCUUCGGAGUUGGCUUAGGACUUUGUUCAAGAAGUGUCCAAUUAUUAUCAUUACUCAAUAUAUUAUUCAGUAGCAAUUCAGCUUGCUCAACAGUUCUUUCCCUGAAAACACAACCAGCACAACUAUCUAGGUGGUGUCUGGAAGCAUCGGUUAGUCCAUUAUAAAAUAUAUCAAGUAUUUCAUUUUUCUUGAGAGGAUGAUCAGGAAAAGCAUUAAGUAAUCGGAGAAGCCUCCCCCAAGCUUGUGGGAGACUCUCUUCUCCAAUUUGCUCAAAAUUAUAUAUUUCCCUUAAGGCAGCUUGUUUCUUAUGGGCGGGAAAAUAUUUUGCAGAGAAGUAAUAAAUCAUAUCCUGGGGACUAUGCACACAACCAGGAGCAAGAGAAUUAAAUCAUAUCUUAGCAUCACCCUUUAAUGAGAACUGAAAUAAUUUAAGGAUAUACUAAUGGCGAAUUUUUACGUCAUGGGUAAAUAGGGUGGCUAUAUCAUUCAAUUUAGUAAGAUGUGCCACAACAGUUUCAGACUCAUAGCCGUAAAAAGGAUCAGAUUCAACCAAAGUAAUUAACUCAGGAUUGACAGAGAAUUCAUAAUCCUUAUAAGUAACACAGAUAAGUGAAGUAGCAAAAGCAGGGCCAUACUUCAUUUUAGCAUUAAGAGACUUUUCUUUCAGCUUAGCUAACAGUUUCUUAAGAUCAUAUAUAUCUUUGCAAGCAAAAAGGUCUCUAGAAGUUUCUUCAUUCAUAACAUAACCCUCAGGCACAACAAACAAUUCGUAUCUAGUGGGAGAAUCUUCAUCAUCACUUUCAUCAAUAUUAUAAGUUUCAAUAAUUUCAUUCUAUCUAACCCUAGAAAGUUGUUCAUCAAGAAAUUCACCUAAUGGCACAGUAUUAUCAAGCAGAGAAGAAGUUGAAGGAAAUAUGCCCUAGAGGCAAUAAUAAAGUUAUUAUUUAUUUCCUUAUUUAAUGAUAUAUGUUUAUUAUUCAUGCUAGAAUUGUAUUAAUCGGAAACCUAAUACAUGUGUGAAUACAUAGACAAACAAAGUGUCACUAGUGUGCCUCUACUUGACUAGCUUGUUGAUCAAAGAUGGUUAUGUUUCCUGACCAUAGACAUGUGUUGUCAUUUGAUUAAUGGGAUCACAUCAUUAGGAGAAUGAUGUGAUUGACAUGACCCAUUCCGUUAGCUUAGCUCACGAUCGUUUAGUAUGUUGCUAUUGCUUUCUUCAUGACUUAUACAUGUUCCUAUGACUAUGAGAUUAUGCAACUCCCGUUUACCGGAGAAACACUUUGUGUGCUACCAAACGUCACAACGUAACUGGGUGACUAUAAAGGUGCUCUACAGGUGUCUCCGAAGGUACAUGUUGGGUUGGCAUAUUUCGAGAUUAGGAUUUGUCACUCCGAUUGUCGGAGACGUAUCUCUGGGCCCUCUCGGUAAUACACAUCACUUAAGCCUUGCAAGCAUUGCAACUAAUGAGUUAGUUGCGGGAUGAUGUAUUAUGAAACGAGUAAAGAGACUUGCCGGUAACGAGAUUGAACUAGGUAUUGAGAUACUGAUGAUCGAAUCUCGGGCAAGUAACAUACCGAUGACAAAGGGAACAACGUAUGUUGUUAUGCGGUCUGACCGAUAAAGAUCUUCGUAAAAUCUGUGGGAACCAAUAUGAGCAUCCAGGUUCUGCUAUUGGUUAAUGACCGGAGACGUGUCUCGGUCAUGUUUACAUUGUUCUCGAACCCGUAGGGUCCGCAUGCUUAAGGUUUCGAUGACAGUUAUAUUAUGAGUUUAUGAGUUUUGAUGUACCGAAGGAGUUCGGAGUCCCAGAUGAGAUCGGGGACAUGACGAUGAGUCUCGAAAUGGUCGAGACAUAAAUAUCUAUAUAUUGGACGACUAUAUUCGGAGUUCGGAAAGGUUCCAAGUGUUUUGGGUAUUUUUCGGAGUACAGGAGAGUUACGGGAAUUCGUCGGGGAGUAUAUGGGCCUUAUUAGGCCAUACGGGAAUAGAGGAGAGUGGCCAAAAGGAAGGAGGCCUGCGCCCCCCCUCUGGUCCGAAUUGGACAAGGGGCGCAACCCCUUUUUCCUUCUUCCUCUCCCCCUCUUUCCCCUUCUCCUACUCCAACAAGGAAGGAGGGAGUCCUACUCCCUGUGGGAGUAGGACUCCCCUUGGCGCACACCCUCCUAGGAUGGCUGCCCCCUCCCCCUUGCUCCUUUAUAUACGGGGGCAGGGGGGCACCUCUAGACACAACAACACUUGAUCCUUGAGAUCUCUUAGCCGUGUGCGGUGCACCCCUCCACCAUAGUCCUCGAUAAUAUUGUAGCGGUGCUUAGACGAAGCCCUGCGACAGUAGAACAUCAAGAUCGUCACCACGCCGUCGUGCUGACGGAACUCUUCCCCGACACUUUGCUGGAUCGGAGUCCGGGGAUCGUCAUCGAGCUGAACGUGUGCUAGAACUCGUAGGUGCCGUAGUUUGGGUGCUUGAUCGGCCGGGCCGUGAAGACGUACGACUACAUCAACCGCGUUGUUAUAACGCUUCCGCUUUCGGUCUACGAGGGUACAUGGACAUACUCUCCCCUCUCGUUGCUAUGCAUCACCAUGAUCUUGCGUGUGCGUAGGAAAUUUUUUGAAAUUACUACGUUCCCCAACAAUAGUUUCAUCAUAAGCAUUAUGCAUUGCACAAGUGGCAUCAUCAAUAACGUGCGACAUAUUAGAAUCAAUAGGAGGUGCAGGUGUCGCAAAUUUACUCAUAAUAGAAGGUGAAUCAAGUGCAUAGCUAGAUGGGAGUUCCUUACCUACCCUCGUAGUUGAGGGGAAAAUCUUGGUUCUUUCAUCUUUCAAGUUCCUCAUAGUGAUCAGCAGAUAUAAAUCCCAAGUGACUCAAAGAAUAGAGCUAUGCUCCCGGGCAAUGGAGCCAGGAAAGAGUCUUGAUAACCCACAAGUAUAGGCGAUUGCAACAAUUUUUGAUGGUAGAGUAUUCAACCCAAAUUUAUUGAUUCGACACAAGGGGAGCCAAAGAAUAUUCUCAAGUAUUAGCAACUGAGUUGUCAAUUCAACCACACCUGAAAGACUUAAUAUCUGCAGAAAAGUAUUUAGUAGCAAAGUAGUAGGAAGUAACGGUAACGGUGGCAAAAGUAACGUUAACGGUUUUGUAGCAAUCCUAACAGUGGCAAUGGAGAAGUAACUUAGCAAAAAUCAAUAUGUGAAAAUCUCGUAGGCAAUGGAUCAAUGAUGGAUAAUUAUGUCAGAUGCAAUUCAUCGUGCAACAUUUAUAACAUAGGGUGACACAGAACUAGCUCCAGUCCAUCAAUAUAAUGUAGGCAUGUACUCCGAAAUAGUCAUACGUGCGUAUGGAAAAGAACUUGCAUGACAUCUUUUGUCCUACCCUCCCGUGGCAGCGGGGUCGUAUUGGAAACUAAGGGAUAUUAAGGCCUCCUUUUAAUAGAGUACUAGACCAAAGCAUUAACACUUAGUUAAUACAUGAACUCCUCAAACUACGGUCAUCACUGGGAGUGGUCCCGAUUAUUGUCACUUCGGGGUUGCCGGAUCAUAACACAUACUAGGUGACUAUUGACCUGCAAGAUAGGAUCAAGAACUCACAUAUAUUCAAGAAAACAUAAUGAGUUUAGAUCUGAAAUCAUGGCACUCGGGCCCUAGUGACAAGCAUUAAGCAUGGCAAAGUCAUAGCAACAUCAAUAUUAGAACAUAAUUGAUACUAGGGAUCAAACCCUAUAAAAACUAACUCGAUUACAUGGUAAAUCUCAUCCAUCCCAUCACCGUCCAGCAAGCCUACGAUGGGAUUACUGACGCACGGCGGUGAGCAUCAUGAAAUUGGUGAUGGAGGAUGGUGUUGGGGAACAUAGUAAUUUUAAAAAAUAUCCUACACACAAGCAAGAUCAUGGUGAUGCAUUGCAACGAGAGGGGGAGUGUAUCUUCAUACCCUUAAAGAUUGCUAAGCGGAAGCGUUUAUCAACGCGGUUGAUGUAGUCGUACGUCUUCAUGAUCCGACCGAUCCAAGUACAGAACGCACGGCACUUCUGAGUUCUACACACGUUCAGCUCGAUGACGUCCUCGCCUUCUCGAUCCAGCAAGAUGGGCAAAGUAGUAGAUGAGUUCCGUCAGCACGACGGCGUGGUGACGGUGUUGGUGAAGAACAAUCUCCGCAGGGCUUCGCCUAAGCACUACGGAACCUAUGAUGGAGGAUAAACUAGAGGGGACGGGGUUGCCGGCACACGGCUUGGUGUUUCUUGAUGUGUCUUGGGUGCUAGCCCUACACCUCUAUUUAUAUGUUGAGCCUUGGUGUCGAAACUUGGAGUAAAAGCCUCCUCAAAGUUGGUUUUGUCCGAAAGGCAAGAGUCCUUCUCGGACUCCAGGGCCAGACGCCAGGGUUCCUGGCAUCUGGACCCAGAUGCCAGGGACCCUGGCGUCUGGCCCCUGGACUCUGCAAAACUUCCUUUUGCCCUUUCCAAAAACCUUGUGGGAUUUCCCCUUUGGCCCAAAUAACGUGUUCUUGUAACCAAACAUUUCGGGAAACAUCCGGAACCCCUUACGGUGGAUUCCGGAACCUUUUCGGAGAUUAAACACUACUAUCCACAUAUCAAUCUUUACUUCCGGACCAUUUCGGAGUUCCUCGUCAUAUCCGUGAUCUCAUCCAAAAACUCCGAACCACAUUCGGUCGCCAACAUACAUAACUCAUAGUACUAUAUCGUCAACGAACGUUAAGCGUGCGGACCCUACGGGUUCGAGAACUAUUUAGACAUGACCGAGACACGUCUCUGGUCAAUAACCAAUAGCGGGACCUGGAUGCCCAUAUUGGCUCCCACAUAUUCUACAAAGAUCUUUAUCGGUCAAACCGCAUAACAACAUACGUUGUUCCCUUUGUUAUCGGUAUGUUACUUUCCCGAGAUUCGAUCGUCGUUAUCUCAAUACCUAGUUCAAUCUCGUUACCGGCAAGUCUCUUUACUCGUUCCGUAAUACAUCAUCUCGCAACUAACUCAUUAGUUGCAAUGCUUGCAAGGAUUAAGUGAUGUGUAUUACCUAGAGGGCCCAGAGAUACCUCUCCGACAAUCGGAGUGACAAAUCCUAAUCUCGAAAUACGCCAACCCAACAAGUACCUUCGGAGACACCUGUAGAGCACAUUUAUAAUCACCCAGUUAUGAUGUGAUGUUUGGUAGCACACAAAGUGUUCCUCCGGUAAACGGGAUUUGCAUAAUCUCAUAGUCAUAGGAACAUGUAUAAGUCAUAAAGAAAGCAAUAGCAACAUACUAAACGAUUGAUUGCUAAGCUAACGGAAUGGGUCAAGUCAAUCACAUCACUCUCCUAAUGAUGUGAUCCCAUUAAUCAAAUGACAACUCAUGUCUAUGGCUAGGAAACUUAACCAUCUUUGAUCAACGAGCUAGUCAAGUAGAGGCAUACUAGUGACACUCUGUUUGUCUAUGUAUUCACACAUGUACUAAGUUUCCGGUUAAUGCAAUUCUAGCAUGAAUAAUAAACAUUUAUCAUGAUAUAAGGAAAUAAAUAAUAACUUUAUCAUUGCCUCUAGGGCAGAUUUCCUUAAGUCUCCCACUUGCACUAGAGUCAAUAAUCUAGAUCACAUCGCCAUGUGAUUUAACAUCAAUAGUUCACAUCACCAUGUGAUUAACACCCAUAGUUCACAUCGUCAUGUAACCAACACCCAAAUGGUUUACUAGAGUCAACACCCAAAAGUUUGCACCGAUGUAACUUUUACAACGAAAUCUUUUAUCACCUCCAUAAUCGAGAAACAUCUCCUUAGUCCUCACUAAGGAUAUUCUUGACCGCUUUCCAGUGAUCUACUAUUAGAUCAAAAUUGUAUUCCUUUGUCAAACUCACAGCAAGGUAUACAAUAGGUCUGGUUCAGAGCAUAGCAUACUUUAUAGAACCUAUGACUGAGGCAUAAGGAAUGACUUUUCAUUCUCUUUCUAUUUUCUGCCAUGGUUGGGUAGUCUUACUCAACUUCACACCUUGCAACACAGGCAAGAACACCUUCUUUGACUGUUCCAUUUUUAACUAUUUCAAAAAAAAAUUCAAUGUAUGUACUAAUUGAAAAAUCUUAUCAAGCAUCUUGAUCUAUCUAUAUAGAUCUUGAUGCUCGAUGUGUAAGCAACUUCACCGAGGUCUUUCUUUGAAAAACUCUUAUUCAAGUAUCCUUUUAUGCUAUCCAGAAUUUCUAUACCAUUUCCAAUCAACAAUAUGUCAUCCACAUAUAAUAUUAGAAAUGCUAAGAGCUCCCACUCACUUUCUUGUAAAUACAGGCUUCUCAAAAAGUCUGUAUAAAACCAUAUGCUUUGAUCAACUCAUCCAAGCGUAUAUUCCAACUUCGAGAGGCUUGCACCAGUCCAUAAAUGGAUCGCUGGAGCUUGCACACUUUGUUAGCACCUUUAGGAUUGACAAAACCUUUUGGUUGCAUCAUAUACAACUCUUCUUUAAUAAAUUCAUUAAGGAAUGCAAUUUUGACAUCCUUUUGCCAGAUUUCAUAAAAUGUGGCAAUUGCUAACAUGAUUCGGACAGACUUAAGCAUCGAUAUGAGUGAGAAAAUCUCAUUGUAUUCAACACCCUGAACUUGUCGAAAAACCUUUUAUGCGACAAGUCGAGCUUUGUAGAUAGUAACACUAUUAUCAGCGUCUGUCUUCCUCUUGAAGAUCCAUUUAUUUACUAUGGCUUGCCGAUCAUCGGGCAAGACAACCAAAGUCCACACUUUGUUCUCAUACAUGGAUCCCAUCUCAGAUUUCAUGGCCUCAAGCCAUUUCAUGGAAUCUGGGCUCAUCGUUGCUUCCUCAUAGUUCGUAGGUUCAUCAUGGUCUAGUUACAUGACUUCCAGAACAGGAUUACCGUACUACUCUGGUGCGGAUCUUAUUCUAGAAGACCUACGAGGUUCUGUAGUAACUUGAUCUGAAGCUUCAUAAUCAUCAUCAUUAGCUUCCUCACUAAUUGGUGUAGGAAUGACUGAAACUGAUUUCUGUGAUGAACUACUUUCCAAUAAGGGAGAAGGUACAAUUACCUCAUCAAGUUCUACUUUCCUCCCACUCACUUCUUUCGAGAGAAACUCCAUCUCUAGAAAGGAUCCAUCUUAGCAACGAAUAUCUUGCUUUCGGAUCUGUGAUAGAAGGUGUACCCAACAGUUUCCUUUGGGUAUUCUAUGAAGACGCACUUCUCCAAUUUGGGUCGAGCUUAUCAGGUUGAAACUUUUUCACAUAAGCAUCGCAGACCCAAACUUUAAGAAACGACAACUUUCGUUUCUUGCCAAACCAUAGUUCAGAAGCCGUCGUCUCAACUGAUUUUGAUGGUGCCCUAUUUAAAGUGAACGCAACUAUCUCUAAUGCAUAACCUCAAAACGAUAGUGGUAAAUCGGUAAGAUACAUCAUAGAUCGCACCAUAUCCAAUAAAGUGCGGUUAUGACGUUCGGACACACCAUUACGCUGUGGUGUUCCAUGUGGCGUGAGCUGUGAAACUAUUCCACAUUGUUUAAAAUGAAGGCCAAACUCAUAGCUCAAAUAUUCAUCUCUACGAUCAAAUCAUAGAAACUUUAUUUUCUUGUUACGAUGAUUUUUCCACUUCACUCUGAAAUUCUUUGAAGUUUUCAACUAUUUCAGACUUAUGUUUCAUCAAGUAGAUAUACGCAUAUCUGCUCAAAUCAUCUGUGAAGGUCAGAAAAUAAUGAUACUUUCCACAAGCAUCAACACUCAUUGGAUCGCAUACAUCGGUAUGUACUAUUUCCAACAAGUCAGUAGCUCGUUCCAUUGUUCCGGAGAAUGGAGUUUUAGUCAUCUUGCCCAAAAGGCACGGUUCACAAGCAUCAAAUGAUUACUAACCAAGUGAUUCCAAAAGUUCAUCUUUAUGGAGUUUCUUCAUGCGCUUUCCACUGAUAUGACCCAAACGGCAGUGCCACAAAUAAGUUACACUAUCAUUGUCAACUUUGCAUCUUUUGGCAUCAAUAUUAUGAAUAUGUGUAUUACUAUGAUCAAGAUCUAACAAACAAUUUUCAUUGGGUGUAUGACCAUCGAAGGUUUUAUUUAUGUAAACAGAACAACAAUUAUUCCUUGACUUUAAAUGAAUAACCGUAUCGCAAUAAACAUGAUCAAAUCAUAUUCAUGCUCAACGCAAAUGCCAAAUAACAUUUAUUUAGGUUUUACACUAAUCCCUAAAGUAUAGGGAGUGUGCGAUGAUGAUCAUAUCAAUCUUGGAACCAUUUCCAAUACACAUCAUCACUUCACCCUCAACUAGUCUCUGUUUAUUCUGUAACUCCUGUUUCGAGUCACUAAUUUUUAGCAACCGAACAAGUAUCGAAUACUCAGGGUCUACUAUAAACACUAGUAAGGUACACAUCAAUAACCUGUAUAUCAAAUAUACCCUUGUUCACUAUGCCAUCCUUCUUAUCCACCAAAUAUUCAGGGUAUUUCUGUUUCAAGUGACCAUUUCCUUUGUAGUGUAAGCACACAGUUUCAGGCUUUAGUUCAGCUUUGGGCUUCUUCAUGGGAGUGAAAACUUGCUUGUCAUUCUACUUGAAGUUCCCUUUCUUUUCCUUUGCCCUUUUCUUGAAACUAGUGAUCUUGUCAACCAUCAACACUUGAUGCUCUUUCUUGAUUUCUACCUUCGUUGAUUUCAACAUCACGAAGAGCUCGGGAAUCAUUUUCGUCAUCCCUUGCAUACUAUAGUUCAUCACAAAGUUCUACUAACUUGGUGAUGGUGACUAGAGAACUCUGUCAAUCACUAUCUUAUAUGGAAGAUCAACUCCCACUUGAUUCAAGCGAUUGUAGUACCCAGACAAUCUGAGCACAUGCUCACUAGUUGAGCGAUUCUCCUCCAUCUUUUAGCCAUAGAACUUGUUGGAGACUUCAUAUCUCUCAACUCGGGUAUUUGCUUGAAAUAUUAACUUCAACUCCUGGAACAUCUCAUAUGGUCCAUGACGUUCAAAACGUCUUUGAAGUCCCAAUUCUGAGCCGUUAAGCAUGGUUCACUAAACUAUCAAGUAGUCAUCAUAUUGAGCUAGCCAAACGUUCAUAACAUCUGCAUCUGCUCCUCAAUAGGUCUGUCACCUAGUGGUGCAUUACGGACAUAAUUCGUCUGUGUAGCAAUGAGGAUAAACCUCAGAUCAUGGAUCCAAUACGCAUCAUUGCUACUAACAUCUUUCAACACAAUUUUCUCUAGGAACAUAUCAAAAUAAACAUAUGAAAGCAACAACGCAAGCUAUUGAUCUACAACAUAAUUUGCAAAAUACUACCAGGACUAAGUUCAUGAUAAAUUUAAGUUCAAUUAAUCAUAUUACUUAAGAACUCCCACUUAGAUAGACAUCCCUAUAAUCCUCUAAGUGAUCAAGUGAUCCAAAUCAACUAAACCAUGUCCGAUCAUCACGUGAGAUGGAGUAGUUUCAAUGAUGAACAUCACUAUGUUGAUCAUAUCUACUAUAUGAUUCACGCUCGACCUUUCGGUCUCCGUGUUCCGAGGCCAUAUAUGUAUAUGCUAGGCUCGUCAAGUUUAACCAGAGUAUUCCGCGUGUGCAACUGUUUUGCACCCGUUGUAUUUGAACGUAGAGCCUAUCACACCCGAUCAUCACGUGGUGUCUCAGCACGAAGAACUUUCGCAACGGUGCAUACUCAGGGAGAACACUUCUUGAUAAUUAGUGAGAGAUCAUCUUAAAAUGCUAACGUCAAUCAAAGCAAGAUAAGAUGCAUAAAGGAUAAACAUCACAUGCAAUCAAUAUAAGUGAUAUGAUAUGGCCAUCAUCAUCUUGUGUUUGUGAUCUCCAUCUCCGAAGCACCGUCGUGAUCACCAUCGUCACCGGCGCGACACCUUGAUCUCCAUCGUAGCAUCGUUGUCGUUUAUGCCAUCUAUUGCUUCUACGACUACCGCUACCGCUUAGUGAUAAAGUAAAGCAAUUACAGGGCGCUUGCAUUUCAUACAAUAAAGCAACAACCACAUGGCUCCUGCCAGUUGCCGAUAACUCGGUUACAAAACAUGAUCAUCUCAUACAAUAAAAUAUAACAUCAUGUCUUGACCAUAUCACAUCACAACAUGCCCUGCAAAAACAAGUUAGACGUCCUCUACUUUGUUGUUGCAAGUUUUACGUGGCUGCUACGGGCUUAGAAAGAACCGUUCUUACCUACGCAUCAAAACCACAACGAUAGUUUGUCAAGUUGGUGCUGUUUUAACCUACGCAACCCGCCAGCCACCUGUGUGCAAAGCACGUCAGUAGAAACAGUCUCGCGUAAGCGUACGCAUAAUCUCAGUCCGGGCCUCUUCAUCCAACAGUACCGCCGAACCAAGGUAUGACAUGCUGGUAAGAAGUAUGACUUGUAUCGCCCACAACUCAUUUGUGUUCUACUCGUGCAUAUAACAUCUACGCAUAAAACCUGGCUCGGAUGCCUCUGUUGGGGAACGUAGUAAUUUAAAAAAAUAUCCUACGUACACGCAAGAUCAUGGUGAUGCAUAGCAACGAGAGGGGGAGUGUAUCUUCAUACCCUUGAAGAUCGCUAUGCGGAAGCGUUUAUCAACGCGGUUGAUGUAGUCGUACGUCUUCACGAUUCGACCGAUCCAUGUACCGAACGCAUGGCACCUCCGAGUUUUGUACAUGUUCAACUCGAUGACGUCCUCGCCUUCUUGAUCCAGAGAGACGGGCGAAGUAGUAGAUGAGUUCCGACAGCACGACGGCGUGGUGACGGUGUUGGUGAAGAAGAAUCUCCGCAGGGCUUCGCCUAAGCACUACAGAAACUAUGACGGGGGAUAAACUAGAGGGGACGGGGUUGCCGGCACACGGCUUGGUGUUUCUUGAUGUGUCUUGGGUGCUAGCCCUACCCCUCUAUUUAUAUGUUGAGCCUUGGGGUCGAAACUUGGAGUAAAAGCCUCCUGAAAGUCGGUUUUGCCCGAAAGGCAAGAGUCUGGACUCCGCAAAACUUCCUUUUGCGCUUUCCAAAAACCUUGUGGGCUUUCCCCUUUGGCCCAAAUAACGUGUUCUUGUACCCAAACAUUUCGGGAAACAUCCGGAACCCCUUCAGGUGGAUUCCGGAACCUUUCCGGAGAUCAAACACUACUAUCCACAUAUCAAUCUUUACUUCCGGACCAUUCCGGAGUUCCUCGUCAUAUCCGUGAUCUCAUCCAAAAACUCCGAACAACAUUCGAUCACCAACAUACAUAACUCAUAGUACUAUAUCGUCAACGAACGUUAAGUGUGCGGACCCUACGGGUUCGAGAACUAUGUAGACAUGACCGAGACACAUCUCUGGUCAAUAACCUAUAGCGGGACCUGGAUGCCCAUAUUGGCUCCCACAUAUUCUACGAAGAUCUUUAUCGAUCACACCGCAUAACAACAUACGUUGUUCCCUUUGUCAUCGGUAUGUUACUUGCCCGAGAUUCGACCGUCGGUAUCUCAAUACCUAGUUCAAUCUCAUUACCGGCAAGUCUCUUUACUCGUUCUGUAAUACAUCAUCUCGCAACUAACUCAUUAGUUGCAAUGCUUGCAAGGCUUAAGUAACGUGCAUUACCGAGAGGGCCCAGAGAUACCUCUCCGAUAAUCGGAGUGACAAAUCCUAAUCUCUAAAUACGCCAACCCAACAAGUACCUUCGGAGACACCUGUAGAGCACAUUUAUAAUCACCCAGUUACGUUGUGAUGUUUGGUAGCACACAAAGUGUUCAUCCGGUAAACGGGAGUUGCAUAAUCUCAUAGUCAUAGGAACAUGUAUAAGUCAUGAAGAAAGCAAUAGCAACAUACUAAACGAUCGAUUGCUAAGCUAACGGAAUGGGUCAAGUCAAUCACAUCAUUCUCCUAAUGAUGUGAUCCCGUUAAUCAAAUGACAACUCAUGUCUAUGGCUAGGAAACUUAACCAUCUUUGAUCAACGAGCUAGUCAAGUAGAGGAAUACUAGUGACACUCUGUUUGUCUAAAUAUUCACACAUGUACUAAGUUUACGAUUAGUACAAUUCUAGCAUGAAUAAUAAACAUUUAUCAUGAUAUAAGGAAAUAAAUAGUAACUUUAUUAUUGCCUCUAGGGCAUAUUUCUGAUGGUUGAUGAUGACGAUGGUGACAGAUUCCCCCUCCGGAGCCCCGAACGGACUCCAGAUCAGCCCUCACGAGAAAGAUUAGGGCUUGGCGGUGGCUCCUUAUCGUAAAACAUGAUGAAUCCUUCUCUUUGAUUUUUUUUCUCUUCGAACGUGAUUAUAUAGAGUUGGAGUUGAGGUUGGUGGAGGUCCAGGGGACCCACGAGGCUGGGGGCGCGCCCUAGGGGGGUGGACGCGCCCUGCACCCUCGUGGAUAGGGUGUGGGCCCCCUUACGCUUAUUCUUUCGCCAAUGUUGUUUAUUAAUUCCAAAACGUGUCUCCGUCGAUUUUCAGGUCAUUCCGAGAACUUUUAUUUCUGCACAAAAAUAACACCAUGGGAAUUCUGCUGAAAACAGCGUUAGUCCGGGUUAGUUCCAUUCAAAUCAUGCAAGUUAGAAUCCAAAACAAGAGCAAAAGUGUUUGGAAAAGUAGAGACGUUGGAGAAGUAUCAGUCGCUUCCCGCUGCUUGGCCUGGCCAAAUUUGACCUUUAGUACCGGUUAGUGGCUCCAAUCGGUACUAAAGGUCCAUCCUAUAUAAGCAACGCUGACGAAAAUUUCAGUUUCUUCUCCUCUUCCUCUGCUUCUUCAACCUUGUCACGCCGUCACCCGUCCCCGGCGCCUCCCCGGCCUAUCGCCGCUCCCGUCACGCGCGGCUACUGUCGCCGUCCCCAUCGCCGCGCCCGUCCCCGUCAUUACACGCCGCCCCCGGCCCGUCCCCGUCGCGCGCGUCCCGCCCCAGCCCGUCCCCGUUGCUGCCACCCGUCGUCGACCCCGUCGCCUCACAUCGCCGGUUGUCACCCAGCUGUAAGACCGUCCCUGCCGCGCCAUGGCCGCCCUCACACACACACUCAGUACACACGACACACACACAGAGAAAAUGUUAGAUGAUUAGAUGAAUUAGCUAGAUAUUAAUGUCAAAUGUUAGAUGAAUUUUAUGAAUUAGCUAGAUAUUAAUGUUAGAUGAGUAAGUUUUUUAAUUCUUUUAGUUAUAAACGAAUUAGAUAUAUUAAUGUUAGAUAUUAGCAUGAAUAUAUAUAAACUUCAGGUUGUUAUCAAUUUGAUGAUAUUGUUCAAAAUGAAUGCCCACGAUAAACUCUAUUGACAAAUCUAACAACUCGCGAUGAACACAAAGGCCAAGAUAGCAAAAAUAUUGACUCCAUUACAAUAUUUUCUAAGGCAUCAAAUGUUAAUAAUAGAUCAUAACUCAUAGGAAUAACCAACCUGGUAAAGUUUAUUCUAGCCGGUCUUCUAAAUUUUCCUAUCAGCAGUUUUCUACAAAUUAAUAGAACUAGUUGAAUUCUAUAUGAGAUUUGAAUUAGUAAGUUCUUAGUUGAAUUAGUAAGAAAAUUAGUAAGUGCUUAUUUGAAUUAGUAAGAAAAUAAAUUAUUUUUAUUUAUAGUAAGUGCUUAGUUGAAUUACUACAAAGUUGAGUCAUCUAUUUUGGAAUGGAGGGAAUAGUUGUGUAGAGGAAUAUAAUGGAAAAGGUCAUACUGUUUCAAUGGAUAGGUAAACAUUAAAAAAUGUCAUCCAUUUAAUACUCGAACAAAGGACAGUUCCUUACUAUGUUUAGAAGAAUAGCUUUAUACUCCCUCCGUUUCUUUUUGGUCUUCAUAUAAGAUUUGGUCAAAGUCAAACUUUGUAAAAUUUAACCAGCUUUAUAUGAAAAGAUAUCAACACUCACACUAUGAAAUCAAUGUUAUUAGAUGCAUUAUGGAAUUAAUUUUCAUAACAUAUAAAUUUUGUAUGGUAGAUGUUGAUUUUUUUCUAUGAAGUUAGUCAAACUUUAUAAAGUUUGACUUUGACCAAAUCUUAUAUGCAGACUAGAAAGAAACGGAGGUAGUAAUAAAGAAACGUCAGGCAACUGGCAGCCACCCUUGUGCGCUAAAAAUUGCAAUGGUGCAAAAACAAUUAAGUGGUAUACAUACUGUCAUGUUUGGUUUGCAUGAGUGUUUUAUCAAUUUAACGGAUUUAUAUGGUACGAUCUUAUAUAUAAUCUUAUUUAUUAGGUUCGUUAAUUGGCUCAGUGAUGUACACUUGAUAACCGCAGAUAAGUACGUACUCGUAGUAGCUAGCUAGCAAUGAUUCAGUCGUGCCACAUGCUCGCUUACAGGCCGCCAUGCAUGUAUCUUCUCCGAUGGACAGAAGUUCAAAUAUGACUUGGUGUCUCACACUCAAAUUAAUUUCUGAAACGGCUUAUCCAUGGAAAGAAUCUCUCGCACAAAUGACUAGAACAGCAGCUGAUCGAUGUUAGGUACGAGCAAACAAGUAUAUUGUAGUAAGAUAAACUCACAUUUAGUGCAAGUUGUGCAAUGCGAAAAGGUCACAACACUAUUUAAAAAAUAAUAAUAGACCACUAGCAGAACAGUUGGUCUAUACUUUGUUCUAAUGUGCCAUGUUGCGAGAAAAAUAAAACCAGCCACCUACGAUUAGAAAUAUUGUAAUUCUCGUGAAACAACGAUUAUCCUGCGAUUCCCUGCUUCUAGCAUGCGCUUCCUAUCACCAGGCCACUAAGUCGGAAUUUCCAAGCGUAGCUUUUUCUUUCCCCUCUCGCAAGGCGACUAGGGAAAGCAUUUCUCCCUUCGAUCUUCCUCGGGUGAGCCCGUGGAUUCGCCUCCACUCCACCUGCCGUUUUAGCGGCCGAUAGCGGUCGGGAGGGUAUUUCUGGUGCCUCGGCUUAUAUAGGUAGGGUUUUGGUUCUUGCAAGGGCGGCGCUCGAACGGAUGGCGGAGCUUCUUCUUCGAGUCAGUCUUCCGGGCUCCCAUUCUCCUCAAGUUCGUUCCUGGGGAUCGAUUAGACAAAGCUCCAGCAUGGAUUCCUGCCAGCUCCUUGAACGACGAGGUUUGGCUUUCUUGUCGUGCAUACGCAAUAGCAAGAUUUUCUGUUAGAUUCUUCAGACCAAUUCAAGGAUUCGAUGGCGACUACUGGGACUCCCGAACUCUGGUCCUUAAGGGCACGUGCAAAAAGACAUCCCGGUUGUCAUCGACAAGGUAAGGCCGAAUCCGGUAUAUGAGCGACAAUAGCGACGCGUCGGCAGCUCAUUCUGGCGGCGGCAAUGGUCGUUCGGUUGUCCAUGAACCUCGAUGUAAUUUUUAUGAUGUUUGGGGUGCUCUGUACUUCCAGUGAAUCUUUAUAAUAGAUAUGAUAUUUUCGUAAAAAAAAGUCAGAAUUUCAGAAAACCGGCCGGUUUCCAAAAAUUUUGUUUGAAAGAAACCUUGCGAUAGUACAACAGCCACCCAUGACGGGACGCUGCGAUCAACCUAAGCGCCCGCCUAUAUAAGCAUCAGGUCCGUGAUUGCCUCCCACACUUGAAGGGUCUGAAGAUAAUCUUCAUCUUCACCGCCCACACGCCGUAGUUGGCGUCGGUGAGCAUCGGGUACUGUAUGGGGAUGUUGCCGUGCGACAAUACGUUGGCACCGCCCCUUCCUCCACCACUGGUCGCUGAAUUUCCGCCCUAGUUCACCUCAUCGACGUUCUUGUUCACGUUGGAACCGCCGUUGCCGGACUUGUUCGGCUUGGAACCGCCGUUGCCGGACUUGGAGUUGACCCACUCCUGAUCGUUGUCCCCCAUCAUAGAUCAUAGAUCGUUGAGGCUUGAGAUACCAAUUAUUGGCUUUAUAACACUAGAUCAAUUCACCAGGGAGCUACAAUGUGUAUCUGCAGCAAACCUAUCAAGCAAGCAAGCCACCAUUAGUAUUUUAUCAAUUUAACGGAUUGACAUGGUAUGUUGUGUAUAUAAUUUGAUUUAUUAGGCUCGUUAAUUUGUUCAAUGAUGUAUAGUUCAUAAUCGAGGAUAAGAACUAGCAAGCUAGCAAUAAUACUGCUCGCGUACCACAAUUAUGUUUCUUCAAUGAUCAUGAUUGAGAUGGAGAUUAUUUAGAGCUACUUUAUAUUCAGUUUGUUCAUAAGAGUGAACAAUUACAUUAUUCCAGGUUUGUUGCCAGCAUAGUUGCAAUUUUAACAAUGGUUGCUGCCAGCUGCCUGCCGUUCAAGUACUAUAAAGGAUUGCCUCUCAGUGCAGCAGCGCACACCGCCCAUGAGAGCGAUGCGACAGCUAUGGCGAGGUUCACCGCGGCACAUCCAGUGCUCGUGCAGGCGAAGUACGGAGUUUUUGCCAGGACACGCAGAGCACGAAGAAAGAAGAUGCAACGGCCAGCAGCCGUUGCCCAAAAUGGCAAUGGUGCAAAAAAGAUUAGGUGGUAUAUACGCCGGCAUGUUCGAUAGACACGACUUCAUCAUUUUAACAGAUUGAUACGGUUGUAUAUGUAAUUUAUUAGAUUCCUUAAUGAUUUAACCCCUAUGUGCUUUCCCUAAAGUUGCAAAACACGCUGUCAAAACUGCGUUAGGAAGGAUUUUCUUGACGUGCCAAGGCUAGUUCUGUAUUUUUUUUGAACACAGUACAAAAGCAAGCGGUAUGACGUGCCAAGGAUUCUCUAGCACAAAUGACUAGCACAACAGCUGAUCGAUGUUAGGUAUGAGCAAACAAGUACUCUCUCCGUUCCAAAAUAGAUGACCCAACUUUGCACUAACUGGUCAUCUAUUUUGGAACGGAGGGAGUACAUUAUAGUAACAUAAACUCACAUUUAGUUCAAGUUGUGCAAUGCGAAAAGGACACAACACUAUUUAGCAGAAUAGUUGGUGUAUACUUUGUUCUAAUGUGCCAUGUUGCGAGAAAAAAAAAACACCACAUAGAAAUAAAAAAAUGUAAAUCUCGUGAAACAGGGAUGGAACCCGCGACUCCGUGUCAUUAGCAUGCGCUUCCUUUGAACCAGGCCACUAAGCAAGUUCUACACACGUGUGCAUACAUUUUCUCUUUGACCUUGUUCACUUAUUUAAAUUCAAAACAAUUUGAUUUUUUCAGACGGUAUUUCAUUGUUUCGCGAAUUUCCAAAAAUCUCGUUUGAAAAAAAAAACCUGCGACAGUACAUCAGCCACCCACGACGUGCUGCUGCGAUGGAACUAGCUAGGCGCCUGCCUAUAUAAGCAUGAGGUCCGGUGCAUGUAUUCCAGAUAAGGAUACAACCUGAGCUAAUCAAGAUGGCUUCCUCCACGCCUUACCUUGUCCUACUCUUGUGCCUCACCACUUUCCUGCAGGCAUUGCUUGCUGCGGCAAAAUACCCACCGCCGCCGCCCCCGCCGUUUGAGCUGCCGGAGUCCGAGGUGAGGGAGAGGUUCUCCAAGUGGGUGAUCAAGUACUCAAAGCACUACUCGUGCCAUGAGGAGGAGGAGAUGCGGUUCCAAGUCUUCAAGAACAACACCAACGCCAUCGGCCAAUUCGACCAACAGAAUCCUGGCACCGUCGUCGGUCGCGGGUUCCGACCAACUGGGUUUCAGGUCCGUGGCUCGGGCGGGGUCCGUAUGAACAGGUUCGGCGACCUCAGCCCCAGGGAGGUCAUCCAGCAGUUCACCGGGCUCAACACCACCAGCUUCAAUGCCACGUCACCCACCUACCUCCCCUACCACUCCUUCAAGCCCUGCUGCGUUGACUGGCGCUCCAGCGGCGCUGUCACCGGCGUCAAGAAUCAAGGCACUUGUGGUAAGUGGUCAAGCUAUACUUUCUACUAGCAGAUUUAGUUAUAUACUCAUGCAUGCUCAUGGUUGCUCAAUGAAUUACUCGUGUCGUCGUGCGGAUGGAUAAAAUUGUAAUAUGGCAGGAUCAUGCUGGGCAUUCGCGGCGGUGGCGGCGAUCGAAGGCAUGAACAAGAUUAGGACAGGGGAGCUGGUGUCGCUGUCCGAGCAGGUACUCGUGGAUUGCGACACACGGAGCGGCGGCUGCGGCGGCGGCCACUCAGACUCGGCUAUGGCCCUCGUGGCCGCCCGUGGUGGCAUCACGUCGGAGGAGAGGUACCCAUACGCCGGAUUCCAGGGAAAGUGCGACAUGGACAAGCUCCUCUUCGACCACCAGGCGUCCCUCAAGGGCUUCAAGGCCGUGCCACCCAACAACGAAGGUCAGCUGGCGAUUGCCGUGGCCAUGCAGCCCGUGACGGUCUACAUUGACGCCAGCGGUUUUGAGUUCCAGUUCUACUCCGGCGGCAUCUACCGUGGCCCCUGCUCCGCCAAUGUGAACCAUGCCGUCACCAUCGUCGGCUACUGCGAGGGUCCUGGCGAGGGAAACAAGUACUGGAUUGCCAAGAACUCAUGGAGCAACGACUGGGGUGAACAAGGAUAUGUCUACCUCGCAAAGGACGUGCCUUUGUCCACGGGCACAUGUGGCCUCGCCACCUCGCCCAUCUACCCCACGGCUUGACCACAGGCAGCACUAUGUGUGAUAUCUAAGGAAUUGCUUCCGUUUCGUUGUGAUAAUGCUAAAUUACUAUUUUUGUUAUACUUCCC
rnacentral:lncRNA from 1 species